AAGAUGCAGUUUUUGAGGACACAAUUAUAGGCUACGUUGAUCUCCAGAAGCUGUGUACAAAUACAACUCUCAGUCCUGAUGGAAGAGAUGAAUUGGGUUGUCGAUGAAACCAUGCCCACCUUGUUGUUAGAUAAUUACGAAGGCCAUGAUAUACAUUGAUAGUUCUGUCCCAUGAUAUACAUUGAUAGUUCUAUCCGGUCAUGGUAAAUUAUUUAUUCUGAAGGAAAAUGUGAGCUAUCCCUUUCUGUUUUAUGUCCGUUGUAUGUUUCAUCGAUAAAAUCAACAGCAUGAAGAGGAAGGCUAUAACAACUUGUGAGCUGCAUAAUUUUGUUGCCCCUAGGAAUCUUUAAUAACAUUUGUAGAUUUAUUUUGAAUACUUUAAGUUCUAGUGAAAAUAUUGCAGUUAUUAAUUUGCAAUGAGCAUUUCUGGGUGUUGUCCAUGGAUAUCAUUUUGGGUCGGUUUGUCAUAAAGUUUUAAUAAAUUAUUAAUUGGGUGAGACUAUUUGAAUCUAUUAAAAUACUUCACAAACCCACCUUUUCAUAAAAUAUUUUAUUACUAAAACACCCAUAAUGUAAAUUACUAAUGUAGACCAACUAAUAUGAUUCAAUAAAAAAAAAUUAUUCUGUAAAUUCGUUAUAAACUAUUUGAAAAUCUGUGAAUAAUCAACCUUUUUUUUCCCCCUUAAGUCUUAAAUUGUAUUUUUUAUGGAAUAUCAGAAGUAUUUGCUGUGUGUUUACUUUGGGACACUUGAAAAGUCUUCAAUUUGGUUCAACUGAAAACAAACAUGAAAACCAAACAAUAAAAAGGUUAUACACAGUACAAGAUCAUGUUAAGUCUGCAGGAAGUAGGCUUCAUUGCAUGCUGGAAAGCUCCAGACUAUAAACUCAAUCUUGCCUGCAAACAAUGCACUCCACACCAGAGAGGAAUCCUCUUCUUGUAUACUCCAAAACAAAGUCAAGUCUCUUUUGCAUAAUUAUUUUUUAGUUUAUUUAGUAAAAUAAUGUAAUGUAAUAUAAUUUAAUCAUGAAAGAGGUAUAUUUGGUAUUUAGGUGGGUGCGUAGAAUAAAAACUUAAUUUUUAAAUUUUAAUAGUGGAUUUAUUGAGAAAAUAAAUAUAAAGUAUUUUGGUGGAUUCAAAUAGCCACAUUCUUAUCAAUUAUGAAUUUGAAAAGUUUUAGAAUCAAGGCAUCUAAUGUAUUCAUAUCACAUAGUACUCACGGUAGUUACCUGGGUUAAUUAGUGAGAUCAAAUAAUUCCACCCAUAUUAAUUAUGAAUUUAAAAAUUUUCAAAACCAAUGCAUUUGAUGUGGUAGUAUUAUAGUAUUCUCCGCGAUACUCAACGAAAUUAAUUAGUGGGUUUAAUUAACCCACCUUAUUAAUUAUGAAUUUGAAAAAUUUCAAGACCAGCACAACUGGUGCGGCAGUAUCAUAGUACCACGACUCACGGUGGUGACAGUACCCUCCCACGGUACUGACCGGGAUCCGAUUUCCCGGAUGUGCAUUUUUCAAUUACUAAUGAGCACACUUAAAAUUUGUUUUCUUUUGAACCAAAUCUUGCUCCCCGUUACCUAUUGAUUAAGAUUAUAGUGUAGCCUUGAGCUUAACUGAUUGCCUGUUGAGUCUCCUAUAGGAAUUGGAAUUUGUUGUCCUGAAUAGUUAAAUGUACAAACCCGCCACUGCACUAAGGUCUCAGUGGAAGUCUCCCACUACUUAAAAACAAUAAUAAUAUUGCUGCCAUAAACUAUUGAUAAAACUUUAGAUGCAAUUUAAUAAAAAUAUAAAUUAAUAAAAAUAAAUUAUGUGAAUCGUGUAGUAUUUUUAUCCAACAUCACGUGAUAUUUUUUAUACCAAUAAAUCAAUGUACUUUUUUUUUUUUGUUAAAAGUCAAAAUUUUCUUAUAAUUUUAGCCUUCACUUAAACUAAUUAAAGUUGAUAGAUGAUUGUAUAAAAAAUAAUACAUAAAGAAAUAAUCGAAAUACCUUGCUCUUCCUUAAAUAAAGUACCACCCGCUGUUGUUGUUUAGAAGAGGAAUGCUUUGGAUCUGGCCCAUCCAAGAUUUGCUUUAUCCAAUUUCAAACGCUGCUCGCACUUUAGAACUUCACCUGGGUCCAAGUCCCAACUAGACUUCAUCAUUUCCAAAAAGAGUUGGACUAUUGGCACCCUCUAAAUAUCUCUCAACACGUCUUUUUUUUAUUAACUCCAUUAAAAUAUUUAAAAAUAUUAUCAGAUUCUUUUAACACUCUUUUAAUGACAAAAAUACCCUUAAUUUAAAUUUAUUAGUAUAAACUCUAUUGUUUAAUUUUUGAUCCCUUGAUUGUGGAUAAAAUUUAAUUUUUGAUCCCUUAUUUAAUUUAUUAAUAUAAAAUUAUCUAAUAUUAUCAUUAACUAGCUAGAUCAUUUUUUUUUCUCUAUAAAAUCUUCUAAAAUCAAUUUCCAUACAAUCAAUACAUGCGUAUGAAAAAUAGGGGAAUUCCUCUUUCCCAGUUAUAAUAAUUUUCCAAAAUUGACUCAGUAAGAUUGCCAUGUCCAUGCCCUGUACCAUAGUGGGUACCACUGUGUCAUAGGGACAUUUUCGAGAAAAUCUGACGUUACUAGAUUUCUAUACUUUCUUAAUGCAUCUCUUAAACUUCUCUUGGCAUUUAAUAUUUGUCAACCCUUUCUUAUCGACGCAUUCAUCGUGGAUCUUGUAGCAAGCAUCCAGAUCAUCACAUGGUUUCUCCCUAGGACAACCGGACCACCCUACACCACAAUACUUCCCGUACCGAAUCCCAACAGAAUUACAGUUCUCUGCAACACAAGUUCUGCUGCAUUUGACCUGAGUAUCAUUGAUGGCACCGGCGGACUCGGAGAAGACGAUGAUGAAUACAAAGGCCAAUGUUGAGAUGACACGUGUCCGAAACGGGACGAAUGCACCAAGUAGCAUUUUUUCUCUCAUUUUCCGUCUUCUCCGCGGUCGACUAGCUAGAUCAAUUGUUUAUUUUGUGGUAACUUCAAACACCAAAUCCUUAAAGGCGUGUUUGGCAGCCCUCAUUAUAUAGUAUUAGGACUCCUCAUAGCAUUAAAGUCUUAGAAUAUCAUGUAUGACUACUCCUCACUGUAUUUUAAUGUGGUCAAAAGAAGCUUGUAAUGCGGUCAAACCCGCAUAAAAUAAACCCGUGUGAGAGUCGGGUUUACGCGGGUUGGUAUUUGUUUUGAGACCAAAAAAAUUUCGCUUUCAUUUUCGUUCUCCUUCUCUGUGUAGUGGCUCGCCUGCACCUCCACACAUCCACUCCACAAAUCUCAACUCCACACCACCACUGCCUCAAACACCACCAGCCCCAUGUGAUCUGCCUUUAUACCGCCAUUGUCUCACGAUACCACCGUGACACCACCAGCUCCAUUGUCUUCGCGAUCUACCUCCGCGACGUGCGAGACCACUGUGCGGCAUGCCUUCGCGACACUCCACCACCAUGCUCCACUGCCUUCAUUAUGCCGUCGUGCCUUCGUCAUUUUUGAAACUGUGAGGGUCUUAUCUUUGUGUUAGUAUGUUAGAUCAUGCGUGCUUUUUUUGUGUGCUUGGUUUGAUUAUUAUUCUUUUAAAGAAAAAGGAUCAUUUGUUGUUUUUGUGAUUUACUUAGUUUCUAAUAUAUCUUCAGUUAAGAAAAUAGAAUGGAGUCUUCUUGUUGCCUUUAAAUUAAAUUGGUAUUUUGUUUGAUUAUGUUAUUGUGAGGCUUUGAUUGAGAUUUUGUUACUUUAUGUUGUGAAUGGAUGAGUUUAUAGAUCUAUGCCCGACAAUUGUUUGAUGAAUUGUCUAAAAGAAAAAGAAUUUGGUGCUUUGCUUCACUAAUUGUGGCCUAGAAAUUAUUACUACAUGUAGAAGUAUUUCCAAUCCGUAGUUGACUUUACAUUAAGAAAAAAUUAUCCUAAUUGUUUGGCUAAAGUAUUUUUGUGGGUGGAUUUUUGGCAAAUGUAGCUUCAGCCUUCAUAUGUAAACCAAAUAAAUAAAUAAAUAAAAUCUCGCUGGAUUGUACUUCAUUAAUGCAAUACCAAAGCACAAGAUGAAGUGUUAUUGUCUGUGAAUGGUGAUUUUUGGAAUGAAAUAGGUGGCUUGUAAAAUUUGCAAUUAUUCUUGACAACUAGUACUUUCGAUUCUGGAUUUGCAAAUUAAUAGUAAUAAACAUCAUGUAAUGGUAGAGAAAUUAAUAUUGAAAAAGGAACUUGAAAAUCAUUAAGAUGAAAUCUUAUGAAUUUACUUUAGUUCUUGACAGGAAGUAUUGAGGCAAAACAGAAUUAAAGAACAGAGCUAUUCUAGAGCCAUUAAAUUUAGAAAAGAACCAAAAAAAAAAAAAAUUAAUCACAAAAAAUUAAUAUAGUACAGUGCAACACCAAACACAGUAUAACUAAAAAUUAAUACAGUACAGUGUAGCACCAAACAUUGUACAACAUUGUUAUAAUACAGUGCUAAUGCAAUACAGCAUAAUACAAUACACCAGCAUAAAAAUAAUGCAAUACAACAUAAUAUAAUACAGUGUGCCAAACGCACCCUAAAAACACUUACAUUAGCAAUGAUUUUAUGUGAAGAGCGUGAUAAUGGAACAAAUUUAAGAGGAAUGAAUAAUUUUAUGUCAAUGAUAAUAGCAAUGAUUCUAUUAACAAAUCCAAUAGUAAUAAGGAAUUUUUAAGGGGAAAAAAUUAUUUGAUUUUGAGUGGGGGUUUAAUUAGAAAUUGUCUUAUUAUGUAAUUUUAAUAAAAGUUAAAAUUGUAAAAUAAUUAAAGGGGUGUUAAGAGGUAUUUAGAGGGGUGUCAAUAGUCCCACUCUUCCGAAAAUAGGCACGUUUUUGGGCUGUGUCAAAGGGCUUGGUGAAGGCCCCGAGGGAGUGUACUUGCUUAUUUGUUAAAAUAAGGAAAAGAACAAUAUGAAGAAAGAACGAGAGAACAACUGGUAGAACCUCGCUAAAUUAGUAGCAUUGAGACCAUGAAAAUUUUAUUAAUUUAGUGAAUAUUAAUAUAUUAAUAAAUUAAUAAUUUAUAAAAAAAUAUUGCGUUCAUAAUUAAAAUUUUUUAUGAAGUAUAGAGAUAGUAUAAUUAGAUAAUAUAGUCUUUUUUUUAAAGUAGUAUGAUAUAAUUCUCAUUUGAUCUUGAUUGAGUGAAUUAGUCAUUUGAUAAUUGAUGCAGGUAAGCAAUUGAAGAAAUCCUAAUUAGAUUAAAAUUUAUAGAGUUUAGGAAUAUUUUAGUUAAUGUGUAUUUUAUUGUCUAUUUAGAGUUUAUUAUUUAGGUAUUUCUUAUUUGAGUUGUAUUUCUAGAUUAAACAAGAGUCUUAGGUUUAGGUCACUAUAAAUAUAUAUCUUUUGUAACUUUAGAAUCAGUUGUGUUGAUUAUUAUUGAAUUUUAGUUUUAGAAUUUGCAUGAGUUUUAAUCUUCUGUUAUUUUUCAAAUUUUUAUGAAAUCAACGAGUCUUACACUUUAGAUUUGUGGGUAUUUUUAGAAUUAAUGCCAUUUCUAGUUUAUUUCACUAUUAUGGGAAUUAUUACAUUAAAUGAAGUAUUGAAAAUAUCCCUAUCCUUUUCCAUCAGUCUGUCCCCUAUUUUAGUUAUAUUCCGCUACAUCCGUUAGAACCAUUCUCCAUCAAUAAUCCCUUAGCUGGAUUGCAAGGCUAGACAAUAUAAUAAGCCAAUCUCUUUCUCUUAUUUCUCUUAACGUAGGACAUAAAAUACAAUAAUAUCACUGCAUUUGAAGGUGUAAAGAAAGCAACAAUGACGGAUAAAAUACAUAAAAAUUUAUGUCAGUAAAAAAAAAAUCGUAGACAUAUCAUAUAUAUUUAGUUUGAAAUUAGUUAUCAUUAGUUUAUGUAUUAAUUGGGUCUUAUAGAAAAAUAUUUUUUUGAAAUUUUUAUUAUCUAGUAAUGUUAAAAAUUAUUAUUUAAUGGACGUUAUCAAUUUAUUGGGUAUAAAUUUAACGAGAUUCUACAUAAUAUAACAAAAGAAUAAAUCUUAACCAUAUAGGUAUUUUGGUAAUUCUACAAAACUGAGCUGAUUACGUGGAGCUUCUGUUUGUAACAAUUAACAUAGAUCCCAAGAGAUCUCACUUACGAGUGACUUCAGAGAUCUGAAACAGAAAGGGCAACAUAGAACUCUUAUUCCCCUUUGUAAUGUUUCUUGCUCAAAUGAGUAUUCCAAAAACAGCUGAAUCUUGCACAUAUUUCAUUUAUAAGAAAAAAAGAUAUUUCUCAUAUUCCUCUUUAUAUAUAUAUAUAUAUAUAUAUAUUAUAAACAAAAAUUAUAUGCUGUUGAUGCUUCUGUUUGCUGAGAUACUCAUUUGAGCUAUAUAUAUAUAUAUAUAUAUAUAUUAAAAACAAAAAUUAUAUGCUGUUGAUGCUUCUGUUUGCUGAGAUACUCAUUUGAGCUAGAAGUAUUAUGAGUGGAAGAAAUUAAAUAAUUUUCACCUUGUUCUUCUUCAUCUUUCUUUCAACCUGAAAGGAAAAAAGGCUUCGGGUAAAUUCUUAAUCUCUCUCUUUCUUGCUAGCAAACAUGCAUAACUUUUUCUUGUUGCUCUGGUUUUUGCCUUAGUAUUUUAUUAAUUUCAUCAUUGACUAAUAACGUUUUUAUUCAUGAAAUUACUAGUGGCCAUUUUUAAAGAAAAAACUUUUUAGCUUUUCUGAUAUGAUAUACAGUUCAAUAAUUUAGUCACUUCUCUAACUUGUGAUAAUCAGAUCUGAAUUUCGUAAUUUUUAAAUUUAAUAAUUCGUCAAAAACAACAUUUUCUAUGUAUACAUUGUGAAAAUGGUUACGUUAUUUUCUAGGUUAAAGAUAUCAUUUUGAUCUGGACAAACAAAAGUCUGUUGGAUUAGUGAACAUGAUGUGUCCAUGCGAGUUCAAGAUUUCUUCUUGUAGGUUGAUUAUUGGUCAAUAGAUAAGAUUACAGAAGUAUCCUUUUAAUAUUAUAUAUUAUAGUCUUUUUAAAUGUAUAAUCAAACCAAUAUAUCAAGUUAUAAUAAUGAAUUCCUACUCCCACUAGGAAAAUUCGAAACCUCUGUUUUAAAGUUAAGGGAAGGACCGGAGGAGGUGCCAAUGCUACUAAAAAAACUUGAAUCGACCAUUUAAAAAGUAAAGAAAGAAAGUGCCAAUUAUUCUAAUUAAAGAGUUAUUGAUUAUUAUAAUAAUAUUUAAAUUUCAAUCAUAACCACAUUAAAAAAAUUGUAAAAGAACAUAUAGUGGAGAUCAAAUUAUGAGAAAAUUCUAAAUACUCUCGUCUUAUCUAAAUUUUUUCUUAUCCAAAUUGCUAACCAUGGCGAUAAGAGGACGAUUCUUUGUUGAACAACAACAAAUAUGGAUAGCAGUGCCUAUCACCAGCUUUCCAUUCUUGAUGAAUAUAAAUUUAUAAUAGCGACGACUUCUCUAUCCAUCACAUCACAACUAUAUUUGAACAGAGAAAGGGUUGAGUCGUAUAUCUUACCCACAUCUGCAAUAAUUGAAUAAUAACAAAACAUUUCAUUUCUGAUCAUUAUUAUCUAGUGGACCCUGAUUUGAUAACAGAGACUAGGCUUGGCAAAAUUCGGGUCCGGUCCGGGUUUUGGUGUUGCCCGGGACCGGACCGGAUGAGAGAAAUGCAAGCCCGGACCCGGGUUAAAACCCGGUUUUUUCGGGUGCGGUCCGGGCUUGAGCCCGGUACCUUCCGGGUCCGGGUUUUGAUCCGGGCUUUUAAAACCCGCAUGUGAUAAAUUUAAUUUUUUUUUCAAUUUUUUUCUUUAAUUUUUUUUUCAUUUCUCUAACAAUACAAAUUUUAAAAAAGAAAAUAAUCAAAUAAACUCAUUCAAUCUCAAACUUUAAAAAAGAAAAUAGUCAAAUACAAAUAUAUAACACAUUAACAAUGCAAAUUUUGCACAAAUGAUAAAUAAAAAUUAUUUCAAUCUACUUUCUAAUACCUAAAUUCAUCUAAUUUCUAACUUAAACUCAUUCAAUCUAUAUAUAAAAUAAAUAAAUUAAAUUCAACAACACAAUAAUUACACAAUAAAUUUAAAUAACAUCCAAUAUAUCAUAAAUUCAUAAUUAUAUAUUUAUAUAUAAUAUAUUUAUUUUUUUAAAUUUAUUAAAAAAUAAGGGGGGGGGGGAGAGAAAAGAAAGCUAUCAACCGCUCAUAGUGUGGUAGGACGGUCUGUCAUUACAAAAUUAAGUUAUUUUGAUCGACCACGUAUGGUGACAAAUUUAUUAUAAUAAUUAAACUAAUAAUUAUACACAACCAAAAGAUGAUAUGUAAAUAUAUCGAUAAAUUCUCUCUAAAUGUGGAGGUAUCCAACCAUUUUUUUUUUCAAAAUUUUUAUUUAAAAUUUAUGUAUAUAUAUAUAUAUAUAUUAUUUUUAUUUUAUAAUCACAAUUAUUUUCCCCACAGCAAUAUUAACUUUUAAAGCACAUUACCUUAAUAUUAAACAAGAACUUUAUUAACUAUUGAGCAAAUUUAAGCAUUUGUCAUUGGUAAAAAAGUUUUAAGGAUUUGGCUAAUUUUGAAAACAAAGAGUCUUUUAACUUUUUAUUUAAAUACUACUUUACAUAGGACAAUAAAAAUAUUAAGAAAUGUAUCAGAAGCUCACAAAAUUAGAAGACCAAUGGGAAAAAAGAAAGAAAGAAAAUAAUAUGCCCACACACAUAAAGAAAAUGUGAACCUUUAUUUUCUAAAAUAAAGUGAAGGGUGUGUUGGAGAAAAAUCAGUUGUUUUUUAAUUUUUAUAAAAACUUUUAGGACCGAUCACAUGCAAUAUAUAAGAAUUCGUAAUCUAGAAAAUCAUAACUUGAUAAUUCGACUUUUCUUUUUCGCUGAAGUAAUCUAGGCUCUCAGAUCAUGAUCCGUCACCACCACUUCUGUUAGAUCACGAUCCGUCACCACCAAUUUUGUUAGAUCACAAUCCGUCACCAAUGAUCUUUCAGGUUCUGACUCAAGUUUGAUCUGCACUUGACGUGUGGGUGCCUUUGUCACCACUAAAAGCAACUAGCAGAAGAAAAUAACUAGGGUGCUAAGCACCAAUUCUCUCUUCUUUUGGGAGAAAAAAAUUCAUUUUAUAUUUCUAUUUAGUGGAAACCUUAAACUCCAUAUUUUAAUAUUUUUUUAAUUCUAUUAAAUCAAAUUUGAUUUAAAUGAAAAAAUAAUAAAACCAAAAGUAAGGUUACUUCUUCUUGUUAUAGGGGCCCACCUUGUAAAAUAACACAAAACCCCUUACACACAUGCAUAUUUUAUGAAGUCUCCCACUAAAUAAUAUAUUUAGGCUUUUAACCCAAAUAGCUAGUUAUCUUGCUUAUUAAUCCAGUAGAGGUGCAAUCAAUUAAAUUAGCUAACCUGAGGAUUAUACGAGUACAUACAAUAGUGGCUACAAUAAUUAGGCAUGUAAUUAAACUAGCCCAAAUAUUUAAUUCCAAAUCUACUCCACUAAAAUAUUGGAAUUGACCUUCAUAAUUGUAUGCUAUCUAUGAUAGUGUUCUUGAAUAAUAAUUCGAACCAUACCACAUUGAUUUCUUUAUUGCACAAUCCUCUGUACCGCAUCGUUAAUUAAAUCGAUAUCUGAACUAUCCAAUCAAUUUAAUUAUAUCUUAUUCCUUGAUACUUAUUGGUUUUCUCUAAUGAUCAUUUUCAACAUACUAAAUAUAUUGACACACUCUGGCCAGAAAAUUCUAUGAUCAAGUGCCGAAAACCCAUCAAAAGAUGUGUUGUACAAAUUAUAUAUUGUUAAUCUAUAACUCUAAUAUUCAUAAUUACUCACACCAAGAUAUCAGGUAAUCUUGACUACAAGUGUGAGUCGUACCCAUUUGUAACUCAAAUAGAAUAACAAUUACAAUAAUGAUAAUAACUAACUCAAGAUUAAUAUUACAGUAAAAUCAAUGCCUAUGAGAUUUAAUAAGCCUGACAGUCAUUACAAAGUUAAUUAAAUCUCAUAUGUGAUCAUGUUCAAUGUAGUCGUACUACAUCAAUAAAUUCAUACAUGAUUAAGACAAAUCAUUCAAUGAAUUUAUUACAGUCUAUACCUAAAUAAAGUGCCCAACUUUAUUUAUCAAUUGCGAACUUAAUUUAUUUAAUCAUAAGAUAACUUAUAUUUAUGUCUUCUGUAAAUCCAUAUGGUGAUCACAUAAAUACAUAUAAUAUGAUUAAAUUGACUUUACUCAAAAUAUUAAUGCAAUUAAGAUACUUGAAUAAAAUACCUCAUUUAUUUAAUUAAUAAGAAAAAUAUUACAAUUAAAUAAACACAUAUACUUUUAAAGAGCAUAUUUUCCCAACAGGGUGUUCAUUACUUGACCAAAGAGUGGUUGCAACAACAAAGUCAACUGUAAUAACAUCAUUUGGCAAGGAGAAUUAGGGUCGUUUUGAGAUUUUUUUUUUAGAGACUUAAAAAGUGAUUAAAAAGCUAAAAGAUAAUUUUGGUAUUUGAUAAGUAUUUUUAGAAGUCACUUUUGGUAAAAUCACCCCAUUUUGCAAUAGUUUUUUGAAAAGUGAGAAAAGAGUAUUUUUUUCAAAGUUUGAUUUCAAUAAUCAUUUUAUACUUAAUUUAAUUCCCCAUAUAUCUUCAUAUAUAAUAUAAAAAUCUAAAAUUGUUAUUGUUCAAUUAGGAACUAAAAUUCAAUUAGAAAAUAAAGCUAUUAAAUAUAAAGGGAUUAUUACUAUUACUAGUUGUAUUGAUAUAACAAAAAAUAAAAUAAAAUAAACAAAAUAAAAAUUAUUUUAGUAAGCAAUUAAUAUGUAUGUAUGUAUGUGUGUGUGUGUAUUUAACAAUAGUUAAAAUUAUUAUUUUUCACUUACAGUGUUAAUAACACUAACGAUUUCAUCACAUUUACAAAUCCAUAAUCCAUUUUAUAAAUUGUAUAUUUUUAUUUAUUUUUAAGUAUAAUUUUUGUGUUUUGUAAGAAUAUCCCUAAAUUCAUUGUCUUGGAUCAGAAAAAAAUAGUGAAAUUUGAAUUUAAAAGAUUGAGAAGCCUUUGGAAGAAUUGCUAGCCCUUUAGUUCAAUAUUAAUUUUGAAAGGCUGAGAUCUUGUCAUGUGUCUAAGCUCACACGCACCACAUUGCACUAGAUUUAACACUCAACAAUUUAGUAGUUCAACCACCUUAACAAAAGAUUCAAUGGAGGGUCUCGAUUUAACUUCAUUUGUAGCCACUGAUAUAUUGAAUCCAACAUUUUGUAAUGCAUCAUAAUGGUUGCAAACUUGCAAUUUUAGACCCUAGAUGGUAAUAUUAAAGCUCAUCUAAAAGUUAUGGUUGCAAAUUCACCAAAAUGUCAUGUAAAUGCCCACACUUUCUCCAAUUAGAAUUUGCCUAUAUAAAGGCAAGAGAACUCACAAAUGAGAUAUGUGGAGUUUUAGGUGAAUUUUGUAAAGAAAUUUAGUUUAAAUCUAAAGUGAAUUUUAUGGAAAAGUAUAGUUAAUAAGAAGAAAUUUUUCUCGUCUCUUUUUGUUUUUAAUUUUCUUGUUUUGUACUUUCAGAAAUUAAUUAAAUAAAAUAACUAUUUUACUUGCCAAUAUGAGUAGCUAAUUUUCUAAGUCAAGGUGAAAGGUGAAGCUUAAGGAUUCAAAUUGUGAAUUUAAUUAAUCUUUCAAAUGGGUCUAAAGUUUGUUGUUUUUAAUUACAUGUUUAUAAGUUGUACCUCUACCCAUUAUUUUCAUUCCAUAUUUAUUCAUAGAUCUAGAUCCGCUUGUAUUUAUUUGGAUAUUUAGACCUAAUGUUGACACACCAAUAUGGUAGUGGGAACACUCUAAUACGGUUGUGGCGUAUUAUGUACUUAAUUCCCAUAUUUAUUCAUAGAGUGGUUAAUUAAGAACUAUGUCACACAAUAUUCAAACUAGUAAAAAAUGAAAAAUAUAAAUGUGAUAGAGUAUUAUUACCAUGAUUUGAAUACCAAGAAUAAAUUGUGUAACCUUAGCACUUUUUGAUUUAGACUAUUCCUUCUUUUCUUUUCUUUUUUUUUUGGAAUUAUUUUCAUUUAGUAAUUGAUUGCCAUAUUUUAAAUUUAUCGCAGUUUGACCUGAACUCAUUGAGUUAUAUAAUAACUAGAUAUUCUUAUAUUUGAAAGUAAUCAACUACUUUUGAGUCGUAUCAAGUUAUUGGCUUGGUUACCAAGAAAUUUCUACAUUUGGUGUCAAUUUUGUUGUUAUUUAUUUUUAUUAUUUUCUUGCAUUUUUUUAGUCUUUAUUUUUACUUUUUAUUUCUCCCUUCAAUCACUUUUUUUUUUGUAUACCUUUUACAAUUUAAAUGUAAAAUUUCAGUUAGCUUGUUCAUUUCUCUUGAUAUCCCAAUAUUACUCAUAGAAUUUGUCAAAAACUUCAUUUUUGCCCAAAAAUCCUCAUAAAUUAAUCAUUGAACUAAAAUUUCAAAUCUAAUUGGAACUUGGAUCUAUGGAUUAAGACUUAUCUCUAAACUUUCAUUACUGAAAACUUAACAUGACUCAAAAGUGGUUGAUUACUCUUAAAUUUAAGAUUAUCUAGUUAUAAUAUAUUUUGGUGAGUCUGGGAUCGAACUAUAGAGGAUUUGGAAAUCUGAUAAUAAAUUAUUAAAACAAAAUAAUUACAGAGAUAUAAGUUAAGAAGGAAUAGUCUAAAUCACAAACUGUUAAGAUUAUAAGAUCCUCUAUUGGUAUUCAAAUCAUGGUCAUAAUACAAGUUUCAAUAUUCAAAUCUCAUUUUUAUAUUUUAUGCUUUUUUUACAAGUUUCAAUAUUGUGUGACUUAGUUGUUAAUUAACAACUUUAUGAAUAAAUAUGCAGAUUAAGUAUAUAAUGUACUACAGUUGUAUUGCAGUGUUCCUGCCACCGUAUUGGUGUAUCAAUAUUAGGAUUAAUCACCCACAUAGAUUCAAAGGGACCAAGAUCUAGAAAUAAAUGUGAAAUAAAAUAACCGAUAGAAAAUACAAUUUAUAAACAUGUAACUAAAAAUAAAAAACUUUAAACUCACUUGAGAGAGUACUUAAAUCCACAAUUUGAAUCUUUGAACUUUACUCUUUGCCUUCUUAGAAAAUUAGCCACUCAUAUUAGUAACCAAAACACUUAUAGAAGAAAAUUGCAAACAAAAGGGAAGAGAAAAAAUCUCUUCUUAUUAACUAUACUUUUCCAUAAAAUUGACUUGAGAUUUACAUUAAAUUUCUCUACAAAACUCAUCUAAAACCCCACACACCUCAUUUGUUAGAUCUCUUGCCUUUACCUAAGUAAUUCUAAUUUGAUUAAAUAAGGAUAUUUACAUGAUGGUUUGGUGAUCUUACUACCACAACCUUUAGAUGAGCUGCAAUAAUACAAUCCAAGUGUCUAAAAUUACAUUCAUUAUGAUGCAUUAUGGAAUGUUGGAUUCAACAUAGUCAAUGCCUACAAAUGAAGUCAAAUUGAGACCUUCUAUUGGAUCUUUUGUCAAGGUAAUUGAACCAUUAAAUUGAUGAGUGUUAAAUCUUGUGCAAUGAAGUGUAUGUGAGCUCAUAAACAUCGCACGAUCUUAGCCUGUCAGAAUUAAUGUUGGGUCGAAGGGUUAGCAAUUCUUUCAAAGGCUUUUGAGUCUUCGAAAUCCAAAUUUCACAUUGAUUUUUUUCCGAUCCAAGUGCCAUGAAUAGAUAUUCCUAUAAAAUCGAAAAAGCAUAUAUAAGAACAAAGUUAUGGAUUUGUAAAUAUGAUAAAAUUGUUACUGUUAUCAACACUAUAAGUAAAGAAUGCCAAUUUUAACUUUUAUUAAAUGUACAUUUUUUAGUGUUAAUAAUUUAUAAAUGUGUAAAUAAAUUUAAGUUAACAUUAUGCCCAUUUUAGUAUGUUAUUUGCAUUGUUACAAUAAUUCAAUAGUAAAAUUUAUCAAACACAUAUUACUAUUUUUAAAACUCACAGUAUUUUAAUUUUCUCACUAUUUAUGCAAUAUGGUUGAUUAUUUAUAUAGUAUAGUUAACAACAAUUAUUUUUAAAAUUAUAGCAUUACUAAAUGAUAUUUAUUAGGUUGAGCCUAUUUGAACCUAAGGUGUUUCUCAUUACAUCCUCUUUUUAAUUAAUGUUUAUAUUAUUUAGAAAAUAUUGAACAAAUUUACCUAAAUAACCUUGUUCUCUAUUGCAAAGGAAUAUCAGUAAUAGUGAGACAAUUGUUCAAAUAGAUAUUGUUGUAAUCUAUCAACUAUCAAGAAUAAAAGGAACAAUACACACCAUCAAAUACAAUUUUUAUUUACCUAAAAAAUAAAGGACUUUUUGUCAACUAAUUUUUUAUAAAGAAAAACUAACACCACCUAAUUUGUAUUUAAAGCUAUUGCUGUAGAUUAAUAAGUAUCUCCAUUUUAAUCACCAUAGAAAAGAUGUUUUAGUUUUUUUACAAGAUCUUCUACAACUAGUAAAUUAUCCAUUUAAAACAAUAAUUUAGGUUGAAUACUAUUUUUAAAUAAGUUAUUAUAAGAUCUAUAGUAAAAAAGAAAAAAUAUUUGAUGGUUUACUCAUAGAAAAAAGAUUCAUAGCUACAAGAAAUAUGAUAAGAGAGUUCAAUUUACAAACAGCCAUGGGAGAGAGAGAUUUUUUGUUUUUUUCUUUUCAGUGAAAUUGAAGAAGAAAGAAAUUAGUGAGGGUUAACUUAAAAAUUUGGAAAGAUUAAAAUUUUAAUAAUAAAUAUAUUUUUUCAGACGAGUUUAAAGAGGGAAUUAGUGAAUUCAAAUAGCCAUACUCUAUGCAUUAUUAUCAUUACUGUCUUAGAGAUUGGCUCUUCGCCACUUGGGGCUAAAGUCUAGAUCUUAAUGCAACCCUUCAAGUUUUAAAAUUAGCCUUUUGGGGGACCCUCAAACCUCCUUAUAGGUAAAUUCACUACUAUUGAUGGAACUGUCAAAUCUUUAAAUCUUUUUUAAUUAUUUUUAAAAUUAAUAAAUAAUAUAAAGUUAAUUAUUUUUAUUAAAUAAUAAAACUUUUAUUUUAUUUUGAAUAUUAACUUUGUAAUUAUUAUUUUUAUUAAAAGAGUCUGUAUGCACAUUAAUUUGUAAGCACAAAAACUCAAUUUAUACAAAGACUGACAACACAAUAAAAGAAAUGAUACAACUAUUAUUAAUGAAAGAAGGUUGAAUCAUUUUAUUUCUAUCAUUGUUUGAUCCUUCUUAGUGGGAAUGAUUUUUUUUGAGUCCCCAUGAAAGGACUCAAGAAACCAACUCACAAGUAGACUAAGGACAUAUUGGCAGAUUCAACUCCUAUUUGUAGAAUAUUUGUUGACAUAUAGCCACAAUUAUUAGUAAUCUAUAUUUGUAGGGUAUUCGCAGAUCGAAUUCUAUAGAUUGGACAAAAAAUUACAUCCAAUCUAUAAUUUAAUUGAUUACAUAUUUUUAAUCCAAUUCAAUCUACAGACGGAGGAAAUCCAAUUCACGCAUCUUAGGAUUACAUGUGAUUUAACAUAAAUCUACUACUAUUUUGUGAAUGAACAUAAUCUAAUAUAAAAAUAAUUUUAAUACCGAUUGAAUUCAGAUUGAAAUAAAUUAAUAUUAAAAAAAAGUAAAGAGGUGUAGGUAAAGUCCAUAUCGAUAUUUGAACCCCACCUUCUUUAGGAUUCGAACUCAAGUGACUAGAUAAAUAAAAUUACUUGAAAAUUACUCAGUUAAGCCUUGGAGCCAAAUUAAUUAAUCAUUUAAAUUAACUGGGGCUUCCUUUAAUUGUUUAUUUAUUUAAUUAUUUUUCUUGUUUGUUACGAUUAUUAGGUAUGAUAAAAUAUAGGUAACUUCAAUUUUAACUUGAUUAAUGAAGUAGUGUUAUAUUUACCAAUAGUGCCGUUUGUAGAGAUUUUUUAUUUUUCUUUUUAAAUUUAAAGUAAAAUUAUAUUUUUAUUUAUUGUAGAUUUAAAAAUUUUCAAUCCAAUUCAAUUUAUCAAUCCACAAAUUGCGCAUUGGAUUAGGAGCAAAUGAAGUUGAGCAAAAUUUAAGUAAACAUAAAUCAACAGAGAAAACACGAAAAGUGAGGGAAUUUUUUUUUUUUCAAAAGAAGCUGGCAAUAAAUUGAAGUUUAAUUAGGGGGAUAGAAAAGGCAACCGGUUAUUACUCCUUCAAAAUCUUAUAAAAAUAUAGAUUUGCUUUUUCAAUAGCUUCACUCCCUUGAUAAGAAAAGAUUAUUCCUUUACCUGAAUCAAAGCAACAUGUCGCACAACCCUAUAUUAUCAGCAGCAUGGUAACUUAAUUUUUAGAAGCAAUCAACGAGUAUCAUUUAUAAAAUAUUUAGCAAGCUUUCCCAUCAUACACGCAAAAUAAAUUACAAAUGAUGGAUAACAGAUGCAAAGAAAAAGCUAAAAUAUUCAAAGUUAAUGUAAAGAGUAAGUAAGCCUGCAUGCUCUCUCCAUUCACAAAGAAAAGCAUCUAAAAUCUCCAUUAAUUUCUUCAAGCAUACUGCUUCACUAAGUCCUACUCUCAACGCAGCAUCUCACUACAUCAAUCAAUGGACAAGGCUCAAAUCCCAUUGCCCACUUUCACAAUUUUGCUUCUUGUUGUUGUAUCAAUAUCACUUAUCCAUGGUACGUAAUUGCCUAUAACAAUUCUAUGUGAAUUUGGCCUAAAAUCAAAGACUGACGCGAUUUUUUUUUUUUCCCCAACAGGAAGCGAAGGAAGCAUUGGAGUCAAUUAUGGCACAGUUGCAAACAACCUGCCUCCACCAACUCAUGUUGCACAUUUCCUGCUAGAAUCUACCAUCAUCAAUCGGGUCAGGCUCUUCGACGCCGACCCGAAAAUGAUCCGAGCCUUUGCUCACACAGGGAUUGCAGUUACAGUCACCGUCCCUAAUGAUCAAAUCCCCUAUUUAACCAAGCUAAACUUUGCUGAGCAAUGGCUCAAAAAUAAUAUCCAACCUUACACUCCCGCCACAAACAUUGUCCGCAUUUUCGUUGGCAAUGAAAUACUAUCAACCGCCAGCAAAUUGUUAAUAGCAAGCCUUGUCCCGGCCAUGCAAACUCUGCAUACAGCGCUUGUUGGUGUAUCAUUAGACCGUAGAAUUCAAGUCUCCACGCCUCAUUCGUUAGGCAUUCUCUCGAGUUCAAGCCCUCCGUCCUCAGGAAAAUUUCACCAAGGUUACGACAUUCAUGUCCUUAAACCAUUGCUUAGCUUCCUCAGAGCAACCAAAUCUCCUUUCUUGAUAAACCCGUAUCCGUUUUUUGGAUGCUCCCCGGAGACUCUUGAUUACGCCUUGUUUAGGCCUAAUUCAGGAGUGUUUGAUGAAAACACCAAAAUUGUUUACACAAACAUGUUAGAUGGGCAACUUGAUGCUGUCUUUUCGGCUAUGAAACUCCUCGGAUUUGACGAUGUAGAGAUUGUUAUAGCCGAAACUGGAUGGCCAUCGAAAGGAGAUUCAUCACAAGUCGGUGUUGAUUCUCAGAGUGCAGCUGACUACAACAUGAAUCUCAUGCGGCACGUAACAUCCGGUAACGGCACGCCGCUCAUGCCUAACCGGACGUUUGAGACUUACAUUUUUGCACUUUUCAAUGAAGAUCUAAAGCAAGGACCAACAUGCGAAAGAAAUUUCGGGCUGUUUCAUCCCAAUAUGACCCCGGUCUACGACGUCGGCAUCCUCCGGUCCACGGUAGCCGCUGCCACUGCUGAUCAUAAUCACCAUGUUACUUGUUGUUUGUUACUACUACUCAUUACAAUCGGCCUUCUAGUCCCAGUUGACGUGGCUGUUUAAAGGGAUAAGUUGUCACAUCAACUGGGACUCAAAUGCUGGAAUCCUAAGCAUUACUCAUGAUCUUAAUUUUAUCGAUUUGCAUUAAUGAAUUUGAUGGACAGGCCAGAUCAUCGAUCCCCACAAGUAAUCCAACGCCAAAAGUGGAAACGCCGCAGCGAGCGCCAGAGGGGAAACGGUGGUGUGUUCCGAAGACAGGGGCUGACAUUGAAGCACUUCAGAGGAAUAUUGAUUAUGUUUGCGGAAUGGGAUUCAACUGUGAAGCGAUUCAAGAAGGGGGCUCGUGCUUUCUCCCUAACACGGUUCGGGCUCACGCAGCAUACGCCAUGAACGUCUACUACCAAGCAAUGGGAAGGCACGAUUACGCGUGCGAUUUCAUACAAACUGGAGCUGUCACUGACCUUGAUCCAAGUACAUAAAUUUUAUGCUUCACAUUUGGCACAAUUUUUACUUUAUGCUUGUGUGAUAUGUACUUAGUUAUUUAAUAUUGUUUUUUCUACUUGAUGCUUCAGGCUAUGGAAAAUGCAAGUAUUGAUUUUGAUGGAGGAGAUUUGGAAUGAGGGGCAGGGCAUCAAGCAUCAUCAGUUUUUGUAAUCUUGUUAAUUUAAUUUAGAAUAAGAACAAGCUGGAAGUGAAGUUCUUAUCUUAGACAUAAUGAGUUAAUUCAUGACAUCGGAAUGUAACGUUGAGAAAAUUAGUUUUAGGCAGGGAGUCUACCACCCAUUUACUACCUUGGUUGAUUAAGAGAUAUGUAUACAAGGGCAUAAAUUUAAUUUGCUUGGCUUUGCAUUGAUUAAUAGUUUAUUGCAACUUAAUUUCCACAAAAUCUUUAUGCCACAUGAAGUCCUCUUGUGUGUGCAUGUUUCAUACCAAUCCAUUAAGAGAGCGUAUCACACCUCACAACCAUCCUUAUUGAAAAGUUAGGAUUAUCCCCUUGGUAGUUCGUUUUUUUCGAUUGAGCUUUGGAAGCCGUAAGCAAUCUUGGCUUUCAUUUUCGUCUCCAUUUUCUAUCAGCUCCCUAAACUUCUUUUCUUUACAUUAUUUGAAAGCUUGGAUAUAUAUUUUCCUUCUAGAUCCACAAAAUAUUCAGCCGAAAUAUUAUUGAACUUUUAAGCUUUUAGGUUAUAUUUUUUCUCGUGCUUAAAUUCUCAUUUAUUGUUUAUAUAAAUCAGUUUAUAUUGACCUAUAGUUAUUUGUAUAUAAAAAUACUAUAUUUAUUGUUAAUUUGGUCAUGCAGUAGCUUUUAAAUUGUAAUACUGUUUGCAUAUGAUUUACAUACAAAAUUACUCAUAACCACUAAAUGCAAAAAAUAUUUCACUUUAAAAUAAACUCGUUCACUGUAUUAAUUUUGUCUUUGUGUGCAAGUGUCCUUGUCCUAUUUGUCAUAUACAAUUUCGUUUGCAAAUGUCAUGUACAUAUGACAUCUUUCGCUUUUAAAAUAACUACUAACUAUUAGCGUAGAGAUAAUUAGUUGUAAGACACAAUUAAUUAAGGUUGCGUUUGUUUUUUUGUCUGAAAUCUAAAUAAGUCUGAAUUUAGCUAAAGUCUGAAUAGAUCUGAAUGAAAAUGUCUGAAUGACAUGUUUAUUUUUUAUUUUUCAACAUCUAAAGAGAAAAACAUAAAAACUAGUAGUUUGACAUAAAUAUCCUUUUAAGUGGUGCAUAUAUUUGUUCUUCACAAUUUAUAAUUUUCGCAAGUUAAUUAGUUUGGUAACAUUAAAAAAAUAAUACUAUCAUUGUUGAUCUUAAUUUAAUAAAGAUGUAAUUAUAACAUCAAAUUUUAUAAUAAAGUCAACACUAUUAUUUUAUUUUUGAUUCAUCACAAUUGACAUAAUUUGAUUUGUUCAAUAUUUCAGUUUAGUUAAUGUUAUCACGUGAAUAAAAAUUUAAAGCAAUUAAAAAAAUAACUUCAAGAAUAAUACAAAAAUAUAAGGUUUAUACAUAGUAUUGGAAAUACAUGAAUUGUUAAGGGCAUUUUUGAGAUUUGAAAUUAAAAUUUUUCAUUUUGAUUUCAGACUUCAAAUAAAAGUGGACUUUUUCUACUUUUUCUAUUCAGGUAAAUUUGUCUGACAACAAGUGAUAAGUUAAAAAAAAAAACAACCUAAAAUAAACAAAUAUAUGAAAAAAAUUAAAUUCAGACUUCAGAUUAAAAACCAAACAACACCUAAAUCUUCAGUAAAUUUUAUUUUUACAUGCAGUGAAUUUUUAGAAAAGAGAAUAAGAGAUGAUUUCUUGAAUCGAAAAUUGACUACACUGAAAUUUUUUUUUUUAAAUUCUUUUAACCAAAUAAUAAAAUAUUGAUUGGACAAAACCAAACUUGCAUGCAAACUCAUGAACUCCAAUAUUUAAAGAACGACACAUUCUAAACAAUAAACAACUGACUAGUAAAUUUAAAAAACAACCCAAUAGAUCAUGUUACGGCUUCCCAUCUCCUAUAUUGAUAAGAUGAAGAACAUUGAGAGCAUCUAACUUAAGUAAAAACUUGUUUAAUCCCUAUAGUUUGAGGUUAGUACCUCUUUAUUUUUUGUAUUUUUAAAAAUGCCUCGAAACACCCUCGGCGUCACUAGAGGAGGGUAAAAUCGGUUUCAGAUCAACCAAAUCGGGUUUCAGGUUGAUUGGGUUGGAGAAAAGUUCAUCUAAACUCAAUCCAAACAUGUAACCUGAUUCGAUCCAUCAGAACUAGAUUGAAUCGAAUAAAAAAAUCAAGUUGAGUUUAGAUCAAAUAUUAUUAUUAUCAUUUAAUAGUACAUAUUAUUAACAAUUAGUAAUUAUAUCAUUAUAGAACCCCAAAUAACUUCAAUCUGAGAUCCUUCAAAACCUUGCAUCUAACUCAUGAACUUAGAACAAAAAGUUGCAAAUUUUAUUCAAAUUCUUUUCAAGGAAUCACCAUAGACAAAAAUUAGCAACAGUACCAAAAAAAGAAAAAAAAAAAGAGGAUAAACAAAUCAAAUUGAAAUCAUUGAGAAACAAAGAAGCAAAAACAUAUCAUAUAUAAUAUAUUAUUGGUAUAUUGUAAUACCCCAAUUCCACUAACAAGGUACUAAGGUGAAAUUGGAGUGAAAUUGUAUUUCAUCAUUCUCAAUUCUAAAACCACUAAAAUAAUUUUUAAUAAUAAAUAUUUUAAACCUCCAAAAUUAAAUAAAUAAUGAAAUAACAUAUUCUCAAAUAAAUAUCAUCCCAAAAUGAAACUAAAAUAUUCGUAGAUUAUUAACGUAAUAUUAAUCCCCAAAAGAAAUCGAGCUCUUAUUCUUCCUCUUGAAACUAUAAGCUCAUAUCAUCUAACUCUAUCUACAAAAAAAUGUGGUAACAAGGGAUGAGCUUUCAAUUCGGUAAGUUAAAAUCAUACACAAUACAAAAAACCAUUAAAAUAUAAUUAAUGGAACUUCUUAGAUAUGCAUAAUAAUAAGGGAAAUUACAUUCGUAAAUCAUCGUUUAGCAAUAUAAAUAAAUCAAAACAUCAUAAAGUCAUUUAAAUCCUUUAAACAUAACAAAAGCAUUUUAAACAUAUAAAACAUAGUUAGCUCAUGCCACAUAGUAUCACCUGUAGACUCGGUGACCCUGCAAUAUAUCAUCAUUCAGGGUACUAUACCCUGUAAGAAUUAUUAACAUUAACAUCACAUGUGCACAAAAUCUAGCUAGCCUUCCAUAACAUAACAUAAUAUCGUUAUAGACAAUGAGCCAAAUCAUUUAAAAUCAUUCUUGAACUUUUAAUUAUUUGUAAGCUCCCAUAGAUUACAUUUAAAUAAUUGAUAAUUAUUUCAAAGUAUUUGAAUUAAAACAAUUUAAUAAAGGUUUUCAUUUUUAAGGCAAUUUAUAAUUCAAGUUUUUAAUAAAUAGUCUAAACCUGACCAUCCUAUACAAGCUGAUUUUUACCAAGCUAAUCAUAUGUCGGAAAAUUGUAAAAAUUAAAAAAAAAACCAUAAACAUGUGUAGCAUUUUUAUAAAAAUUCAAAAAAAUGAAUAAUAGUUAGUGAAGGCAACAAGAAUUUACCUUCACAUGUACUUUUGAUUUGUGGAGAACUUGUGACACGUGUUAAACUCGAAUCCGGCAUGGUGGGUACCUGAAAAAGGCAUCGCCGACGCCCAAGUCAGUGUUUGAUUUUAAGGUCUAAUGGAAUCAAGAACAAUAAACAAGAUUAGAGUUUUUUGACUUAGGAGGGAUCCAUUUUUUUCUUGAUGAGAUGGUCCUUAUUUAUAGUUGAUGGAGGACAUGGGUCUAGGGUUUUGCCUUGGUCUCUCUCCUUGAUGACACGUGCUACCAACUAUUAUUGCAAACGUGGACGUGAACGUGUUCGUAGGGAAAUAAAUAUAUUUAUCCCAGACCUACGUCAUUUAUUUCGUGCCCAUGUGCUUCUCUACUCCUAUGAUCUUGGGUGUGGUUCCCUCAGACUCCGGAAUCUCAGAAUUAGUCGUGGUUCCCUCAGACCUCGGAAUCCCGGAAUGAGAAUGAUUUUUUACUCUUAGUUAUUAUUGUAAGUCCCAGGGAAAUUUUGUUCCAGUGUUACUUUCUCUGGAAUAGAUUGAAUAUAAUUUAUUUACUUAUUUGAUUUUCCGGGAUAAUUUCUUUCUUUCUUUUUAUUUGGACGCUUGGCAUAAUUUGGUUUCUCUAAGUUAUGGCACAUAUAGGACACUUGGCAUAAUUUUGUGCCUCUAAGUUUUGGUACAUACAUCAGUCCCCCCUACAAGUGUAUUUUUAUUUAAAAAUCCUUUAUUAAAAAAGUGGCGUUUUUGUAAUAUAUGUUAUUCUUCUCAAAAUAUAGUACUCCUAUGUUGACCACACACUUAUGUAGCCUAGGAAAGCAUGCUACAAAUAUUUUUUUCAAUUAGGGUAUUCCAUUAUAUUAGGGACGAAAUUUGUCAAGAAACCACUUUAAUUCAGUUUGAAUGCUUGAAUUGCGCUGAUAUUUACUACUACACACUUACACAAUUUGGGAAGGUAGACAUGAAGGGGACAAUGAUUUGGAAUAAAAAGGAAAAUAAAAUAGAUUGCUCUUGUCAAAUGAUGGAUUCUACUAGAAUCUCAUGUCGACACAUUUUUUAUGUCAUGAAAGUGGAACAGUUUGUACAAAUUUCUGAAAAUAUGGUUUAUCAUCAAUGGACAAAAAAGGCCAAGGAUUAUACAUAAUGCAACUUAGUAGUACCAUAAGUUGACAGUGAGGUUUCUAAUAUUGCUAGAUUUAAUGCUUUAUGUACCGCUAGUAAUAAAAUGUGCUUUUAUGUGGCAAACAAUGAGCACUCAUGUAAAGAGGCUUUAGUUGAGAUCAAUUAAUUGACAUCAAAAUUUCAACAACUCUUUGGAGGACAAAGAAUUAGCAACUGAAGUCUUGUAGUCGGUCCAUAAAGAAAUUCAAGGGUACUAGAUCCAGUUGUAGUGAGGACAUAAGGUUCUGCAACAAGAAUAAAAAAAGUUGCUAGAAAUUAUAGGAAGUGUAACGUUUGUAGGGAGCCUGGCCAUAUAGCAAGAAGUUGUCUUACUGGCAUCAACGACAGCAUGUAACUUGUUUUUAUGUUUGUUGUUUAUUGUUUCAUAAUUUGUGGCAACUAAAUUUCAUUUUAUUCAUGAAUGAUUAUUUGCAGGAGUAAUGAAGCCAAUGUUAGUAACAACGAUGGUUGAAGUAGUUCUAAGUUAGCUAGCCCAAAUGAACAAUUUUUAUUCAACAAUAGUGAAACAUCAUAUGAAGUUGAAACCUAAAAUGAAUGUGGGAGUAGUUCUCAAGUGUUCUCAAAAUCCAAUGAUUAUUUCUAGAAUAACUCAUCAAUGUCACCAUCACUGGGAGGAAAUACCUUUAUAUUUCUUCCAUAUCCCAACAUGCACUCUAAUUAGUGGCCUCUUGACAAUUCAUUUGACUAAUUGGAAGACAUAACUAUUAAUUGUAUUUGACUUUGCACAAGAUGAGCUUUAAUUGAAGCUUGUGCUAGUGUGUUACCAUUUUAAAAUGUUAUACGCUUAAAUUUGUAUGUUGGAUGUUCAUCAUCAUGUCUCAUGCAUAAAAAAUGGCAUUUGAAAUUUUUUGGGAUCAUAAAAUAGUCUCAGAAUUGAUAAAAAAAAAAUGGUGCAAAUUUCAAGGAACCGACUAAUUACUUUCUUUAAGUGGCUAGCCGCUAGUGAGGCAGAAACUAAUCGGCUAGCCGCCUAAAAGAAAGCAACUAACUGCUUAGUUUCUGGAACUGAAGUGGUUAACCACUUUAUUCCAAUAGUUAGCCAACUUCAUAUAUUAUAAGGCAUGUUCAUCAUCUUCCUUAUUCAUUAUUUCUCUCUCUACAUUGUUUUCAUUUCCAACUCUCUCUCUAGAAUUCUUCAUUUUCCACUCAAUUUCUUGCCAAAGCGAGCCUCCAAAUCUAUUUUCCAUUCAUUAAACCUCACCCAUUCACUCCCAAGACACAAUUUCCUCGUUUAUAUUUAAAAUCCCCAAAUCCGUAAACCUAGGUUACUUGUUUCACAUACUCUCAAAUUUGAGUUACUUUUUACUUAUUCUUGACCAAAUUAAACCCAUGCAUUCACUUAAAUAUUCUCUACGAACAUAUGCUUAGGUUCAAAAUUAUCCUUUCUCUCAAUAUCUUAUGAAACCGAAUCCAAGAAAUUUGGGUAUAUUGGUAAAGUCACAAUGGCUGGUAGUGAGAAAUCCAAGGGCAAGCAAAAAGCCAAGUAGCAAAAAAAAAAAAAAACUCCCUGAGGACAUUCCAAAAAUUAUUUCCAUUCACUUUUCAAAGCCGCCUUUACAGAAACACUAUUACAAUCGUUUUAUGACAAGGUCAAUUAUAUAAUCCUACUAUGUCAACAUGGAUAAGCUUGAUAAUUUAUCAAUUUGUAGCAAAACUCUUAGGACUUUGCCAGUUAAUAUGGGUUGGAAAAAUGUCUUAGUUUUUAAGAAACUAGUUAUUCGAACUUAGUGUGAGUGUUCUAUUCAAAUGUGCUUAUUUCUUUUAAUCUUGUAAGUAGGGUUUUUCCAAAUUUUGUUGGAAUUCCUAUUGAGUUUGAUGUGGAGGAUUUAAACAUGAUACUUAGAACUAAGAAUGAGGGAUUCCAUGUGUAUACAUUUAGAAAUAAGAUUGAUCAUCCCUGAUACUUAGUGGUAAAUGUUGUUUGGAACUGAUACAAGAGAUUCGAUUUAUCAAAAUAAUUUUGUAACUCCGCCCUUAAGUCCUAGGCUUUAUUUUCAAGUUCGGGUCCUACAUAGUGUUCUUCAGUUAGUCAUCGAAAGGGACAUGUUGACGAGAUUACGUGUCUAGAUGUUGCCUUACUAGAUAGCAUUUUUGUGGGAUGAAAAUUUAAUGUGGGCUAUAUUAUCCUUCAGCAUAUGCUUAGCACCCUAGUUAUAGCAUCUUGAUCUCUUCCUUUUGGUAGUAUCAUCACAUUUAUCCUUAAGCAUUUUCGGGUCUCUAUAUCUGAACCAUCUCAUUAUGAACCCAAAGAGUUAGGGCACAAAGGCCAUUGCCAGUUUAGGAUUUGCAUUGAGUAUGUCAAUGAUCAGAACCUCGUGAACAAACUUAUAUAGAUUGCUCCUUCCGAUCAUCGUAUGUUUAACAAUGUGCUUCUCCCUGACCAACUUUCUGACCUUAGUGCUUCCUUACGAUCACAAGCUCCACCCGUUCAUUUGAUGCUCCAUCGUCAUCUUCAGUCGUUCCAGCAGAUUCGAUGCAACAGCUGUUGACUGAAGUACGUUCUAUAUCCAUACAGCAAAGUGAACUUUAGUCUUAGUUCGCGACAUUUCAUGAUUAUUUCCUUUCUGAGCAGUAGCGUCUAUUUGCACAGAAGCAUCAUAUUCUAGAUGGCCAGCAACUAAUCUUUUGUACUCUCAGGAUUCAUCCACCAUCCUCAUCUUUAUCUCAGCCUCCUAACCAAUGAUUUUUUCUUUUAUGAUCCCCUAGUUAUGCACUGACAUUAUUUAUGUUAUGCCUUUUUUUAAGACUAAUAAAUACACGAUGUAUUUUGUUUAUGCAUUAUGGAUAUUUUUCUUCGUAUGGUUUAUGUAUUUGUGUGCAUCUUUGAUUGGUGAAUCUUGUGAGGGACUUAUGUUGAAGUAGUUUUUAGUGGUGACGGGGAAGAAGAUUGUAUAUGUAUUUUAAGUGUUAGUGAAGUGUUGAUAAAUAUAGUAAUACUUAAGGGGAGUUUAUAAAAUGAUGUAAUAUGGAUUAAUACGGUUCAUGUACAAAAAUUAGGGGAAUAUAAGCAUUUGGGGCAAAUUUUUAAAUUCAGAAAACAGCUCUUCAAAAAUAAAAACUUAGCAGCUAACCAUUUUAAGGCAAACAACCAAUCGCUUCCCUUUUAAAAAGGUGGUGGCUAGUCGUUUGAUUUAAGCAGCUAACCAUUUAGUUCACAGAAAGAUAGCAACUAGCCGACUGAUUCUAGCAUUUUGAAAUUCUCUCUUUAGCCUUGCUUUCCAAAAACUUAGCAGCUAAUCGCUUCUUAUGAAGCGACUAAUCGUAUCUCAUCUUGAAAGAUAACGACUAGCCGACUUAUUCUAGCGGCUAUUCGACUAUUUCUAGUAUUUUGAAAAUCUCUCUUUAGCUUACUUUCCAAAAACUUAGCAGCUAACCGCUUCUCAUCCAGAAAGAUAACGGCUAAUCGAUUGCUUCUAGAAUUAUAAAAUUCUCUUUAAUGUUAACCACAAGCGCACCAAGGCACCAUCAACCGUAAUACCUUAACUUAUAAAAAAUAUACAUUAUAUAAGUAGAGCGCAUUCGAAACAACAUUCAUUACAAAAAAGUUAUCACAAUAUAAUCGCCACAACAAUGUUUGUGGUGAGUUAUCAAUAAUGUAUACUACAAAAAUCAAUGUAUAAAAUGUUCAUUUCAUAUUCCACAACUAAAUCUACUACAAAUGUGGAAUUUCAUACAAAUCCCAUCAACAAGACCUACCAUUUAUGGCCGUAUUCUUUUUUAUUUUUUUCCUUGAGCUUUUGUACCUAAUUUAUAUGUGUUCACCUUCUGUGUGGAGGCUAUAGCGUUUGCCUGGGCAGCAUGUUCCUCAAUGUUACAUUUGCUUUAGUGAACAAUUGGGCUCGUGCUUCAUUGAAGGCCAAGUCUAUAAAUUGAACUUGAUCAAAACGAUGAGGUGACAAUGAGUUAAUAUUAAAAUUUUAAAAUUUUAAUUCUUACCAUAUAUGAUUGACACGACUAAAAAAUGUAUUACUCUCAAGUAUAAGAGUGUCUAAUUAUAAUAUAAUCCGGUGAGUCCGGGGUCGAACCACAAGGAAUUUUAAAUAUAGUAAAACUAAGAAAAUAAAUUGCGGGGUAAAGAAAUUAUUUGAAAUUGAUUUAAAAAUAAGCUAAGACUACGGGAUCCACUCUCAGUAUUCAAACUAUAAUUUUAAUACUCUCUUAUUUUUAUCCUCACUUUUUCCAGUUAAUUAUUAUAUCAUUUAAUUCUCAACUAACUAUGUGUUUGGAUAAAUAUGAAAUAAAGUAUCUAAUGUGCCACACUAUAUUAAUGUGUCGACAUUAUGUCAAAAUACCAUACAGAUCCAAAGAAAUUUAUAAAUUAAUAUGGCAUAAAAAUAACUAGAAAAGAAUAAAAUAAACUUUGAACUCAUUUGAGAAAAUAAUAAAUUUAAUAGUUUGAAACAUUGAGCUUCACCCUUAACCUCAGUUUAAUAAAAUUAACCAUUCAUAUUGAAAGAAAACACAACACUCUUUUUAUUUGAUAAACUUUUGAAAUAUGUUAUAAGGAAAAUUGAUACAAAAGGAAACAAGAAACGAAAAGAAAGAAAGAUAGAAAUUCUUCAGUCUCGGCUUCAGCUUUCCAAAUAGCUCUCUAGCUUCUAGCCAUCGGCUCUCGUGUCAAUCGCUUGCCACCCCUUGCCUUUUAUAGGCAAAGUAAAUCAUCUUCUUUUAUUUUAUUUUAUUAAUAUUAAUAUUUUAUUUUAUUUUAUUUUUAUAUUAUAUUAGUAGUUGAAAACAAAAUGGCAAAUUUGAUAAAUAAAUAUCAGGAAGAAAUUGAAGAACAACAUAUGAACAUGUAACAUACUAUGAGUUCAGUUUGUUGCUCACGUUUUCGAUUACUUCGACCACCAGGAAGAGGAUCCCAAAUCUCACCAUAUUCUUCUUUUUUCAUAUUCACGAUGAAUAGGAACCAACGAAAUGCACCAUCAUUAAUUGGAACAUAAAUCUAAAAAAAAUAAAAAUUCAGUAUCUUUCUUAUAGAAGAUGUUUUAUAAUAAGUAAACAAUUAAUCAGUUAAGAAUUUAAAAAGUAACCUUUGCUCCUUUGAAAGUCUAGCAUAAAAGGUUUUCCAACUCUAGCUGUCUGUACAAAACCAUCUAGGUCAGCUCCAACGGUAAGUGUUAAUUACUACAAAAGAAAAAUAAGUAAAUAAGUGAUAAAUCAGUAAAUAGCUCAUUGAAAAAACCUUAUUGUAGAUAGCAAUGUUUGAAAAAUUACUAUAGAUAAACAACUUCAAUUCACAUAGAAAUAAUAGUACUAGAUAAAAAUAAGUCAAUAAGUGAUAAAUCAGUAAAUAGCUCAUUGAAAAAACCUUAUUGUAGAUAGCAAUGUUUGAAAAAUUACUAUAGGGUUCGGAAUGACUCUUUGUUUCAGUCGAUGAAUGCGCCAAACCUUUCCAUUAGUAGUUGAAAAACAUCAUUAUUAACAUUAUUUCACUUGGGAGAUUCUGUCUGUUGAAGCUUAUUAAGAUGAUCAGAGUCACGCAUUGAAACCUAAAAUAAUUCAUAAAUACUAAUGAUUUAGUACAAAAUAUGGUACAUCGGUUUCAUUAAAAUAAUAGGCAAUCUUUUAUAUAUAUAUAUAUGUAUGUAUGUAUGUAUUUCACACCUUAUUACUUUUGAUGCCACCAAGCCUUUUUUCCAUUUCAAGAAUUGUGAAAUCUCAUCAUUUUUCCUUCUAUCAAUAAAAGGUCAAUCAUAUACAAUAGAACAAAAAUAGAACAAUUGUGCAUCAAUGACAAAGUACAUAUGUUAUAAGUUGAAAUAACCGAAACGCAAGAAACAAGUAAAACACAAUAUUACAAUUACAUUUUUUUAUUAAACAUACCUUUAAGCAGAGAAUGCAGCCACCAAUGAAGCUUACUUUAUUUUUUUUAUUGUCGAGAUGACAUGACAGCAGAUGUUAUGAACAUGAAAAGUGACGAUAGCGAUGACAUGAACAUGAAAAGUGUCACAAGUACUGCCUCUCAGCUAAUAAGCAGUGCCAUCGAAGGAAAGCUUCAGUGUCAGUCAUCACUAUUGCACCGCCUCUCAUUAAGUUGUCGACGUCUUCAUCUUGAUCUCAGGUUCUGUUAUGUGUUUUAUUUUUAAUUUCUUUUUUUGAUUAUUCAUUUAGAUUAUCGACUAGCUUAUUAUAAAUUAGGGCUUUCAUUAGUUUGCAAUUAGUUAUCGAAAAUUGAAAUUAGUUGUCAUAUUUCAUAAAUUCUUGAGAUAAGGUUUGAUUGUGCCUAUUUUUGCACAAACUUUGAAUGUUGCAAUUAGUUUAUUAUCUUUUAGCCUUUAAUAAUUGCUGCACAAAUUGAAUUAAAAUUUGGAAUGUUGUUUCGGAAGUUGAAGUUAGCUAAAGGUGAAAAGAUUGAUAAAUUAACAAUAUGUGAAUGACAACUUAUUCUAUCAUCUGAUUGUGGGUUGCAUUAAAAUUUAAUAAGGUAAAAAUUAGUAGGGGAUUUUAUCUUGACUAAUCUUAUGAAUCUUUAAAAUGAUGAUUUUUAGUAAUUGUUGUGACUAUAUUUACAUAAUCUUAAGACAAAUAUAAUAUUUACUAUAAAUCACAUAUUGUGAUAAAUAUAGUGUCAUUAAUUGCAUUUUUUGAAUCUCUAAUUUGAUCAUUUUGAAUACUAUUUGUGACAGUUUUAAGUUAAUUCUCAAAUAAUUAUAUUUGUUACAAAAACAUAUUUUUGACAUGAUGAAAAUAAUUUUCGUUGGUAGAACCUUUUAAGACGGUUUUUCCACGACUAGCAUGUGAUGAUAUAUUUUUUGUCAUAAAAAAUAUAAAGUGACUAAUUUAUUAUUUUUAGUGACUAAUUUUUUGUAAUAAAAUAUCAUUUUUCUUGUAGUGAAGGCUCAGAGAAAUUUGAAUGAUAAAAACUUAGUCUUGUUUUGAAAGUUAUCAAAAAAUGGUAUACAAAUUACUAAGUGUGCAAAUGAUACAUAUGAGAGCUUCUAUAAAAAUAUAUAUUCUUUUCAUUGGGUUAAAUUGAUAAUUUAAUUUUUUUUCUUUUUAUUAAUGUAAAAAAAACUUUAUUAUUAGAAGGUAAUAGUACAAAAAUAAGUUAAAAGUAAAAAAAAAAUAACGAUAAAAAUAUGUUUUGAGAUAUUUUAAAAAAAUAUAAAAAUUAAAGGAGUUGUUAGCUUAAAAAAAUAUAUGAAAUAAAUCGACUUUUACCCCCAUCUAACUCAAUAAUCUAAUACCAGCGUCCAUGGCCAAUUGCAAUCCAAAACGACAAGCUACCGCUUGAGCAUAUUCUACGUUCUCUGGAAACUCAAAGCAAUCAAUAGCUGGGUUAGAACCAUAUAACCAUGACAAUGGCAACUGAACCCGCCAACUGCCCACUAUUCCCCGUGGAAGCAUCAACAUUCAGCUGCCUGCCAAAAAUGUAAAACAGUUCUCGGUACAGAUUCCAAGUCAGCCACCUUCCGAGCUUGCACCUCUCGGAACGUUGUAAAAGUAAAUUGCCCUGAGUUUUAAAAUUAAUCAUAUCUAUUUAACAAAUAUUACUAUUAUGUUCAUUCAUAUGACUAAAAUAGAUCUAUUAAUUGUUGACGUUUAUAUAAAUAUGUAUAUAUACUAUUUUUGAUUGUGUAACAGAGAUUGUAACAUUUUUCAAUUUUUGGUUUGAUAUUCUGGAAGAAAACGGUUUGUCGUUUCUAGAGAAAACGGCUAACCGUUUAAUUUCAGAGAGCAUGUUUUCUGUUUUAAAGAAAAUGCCUAACCGUUUGGAGAAAACGGCUAAUCGUUUUAAUUCUAGAGAGCAUGUUUUCUGUUCUAAAGAAAAUGACUAACCGUUUUAAUUCCAGAGAGCAUGUUUUUGCAUCAACUGAAAAAACGGUUAGCAAGUUUGAAAAAUUCAAUUGUCAAUCGAUGCAAAUUCAAACCAAAAGAGUGUCUUUGAAGAAGUACCAUUUCUAAUGGUUGUAUUCUUUCAAAUAAACAUAUUCUUCAUAAAAGAUAGACAUAUAACUAGAUCAAUAUAAGAUUUUGCAGGUUUCAUAUAUGUUUUGGAAAUACAAUCUUAUUUGCUAGAGAUUGUAUUCAGGAUUUGAUAUAUCUUGUAGGUAAUUUGACAUUAAAACUCUAUAGCAAACCAAGAUUGGUGAGGGUAAAUAAAACCUUAAAGAAAAGUGUGCAAACACGUCUCAAAUCCUAAGAAAUUUUCUUUGUUUUUUGCCUCUAUAUUCGACCAUUCUCCAACAAAUUGUGCAUAUAAUAAUAUAAAAAUGAAAAAAAUAUUAUACUUUAGGAGUGAUUAGCAAGUUGUCUAAAGUUGUUCCUUUUCUAUUAUGGUCAUCGAGAGUUUGGACAAGCACGAAUAAAUUGCAAUUUGCAAAUUGAAAGUAACGUUGCAUGAACUUCAUUUGUCUGCUGUACCGUACAUCCGCCUUGGCCGUACAGCAGCUAGCCUUCCAUAACAUAACAUAAUAUCGUUAUAGACAAUGAGCCAAAUCAUUUAAAAUCAUUCUUGAACUUUUAAUUAUUUGUAAGCUCCCAUAGAUUACAUUUAAAUAAUUGAUAAUUAUUUCAAAGUAUUUGAAUUAAAACAAUUUAAUAAAGGUUUUCAUUUUUAAGGCAAUUUAUAAUUCAAGUUUUUAAUAAAUAGUCUAAACCUGACCAUCCUAUACAAGCUGAUUUUUACCAAGCUAAUCAUAUGUCGGAAAAUUGUAAAAAUUAAAAAAAAAACCAUAAACAUGUGUAGCAUUUUUAUAAAAAUUCAAAAAAAUGAAUAAUAGUUAGUGAAGGCAACAAGAAUUUACCUUCACAUGUACUUUUGAUUUGUGGAGAACUUGUGACACGUGUUAAACUCGAAUCCGGCAUGGUGGGUACCUGAAAAAGGCAUCGCCGACGCCCAAGUCAGUGUUUGAUUUUAAGGUCUAAUGGAAUCAAGAACAAUAAACAAGAUUAGAGUUUUUUGACUUAGGAGGGAUCCAUUUUUUUCUUGAUGAGAUGGUCCUUAUUUAUAGUUGAUGGAGGACAUGGGUCUAGGGUUUUGCCUUGGUCUCUCUCCUUGAUGACACGUGCUACCAACUAUUAUUGCAAACGUGGACGUGAACGUGUUCGUAGGGAAAUAAAUAUAUUUAUCCCAGACCUACGUCAUUUAUUUCGUGCCCAUGUGCUUCUCUACUCCUAUGAUCUUGGGUGUGGUUCCCUCAGACUCCGGAAUCUCAGAAUUAGUCGUGGUUCCCUCAGACCUCGGAAUCCCGGAAUGAGAAUGAUUUUUUACUCUUAGUUAUUAUUGUAAGUCCCAGGGAAAUUUUGUUCCAGUGUUACUUUCUCUGGAAUAGAUUGAAUAUAAUUUAUUUACUUAUUUGAUUUUCCGGGAUAAUUUCUUUCUUUCUUUUUAUUUGGACGCUUGGCAUAAUUUGGUUUCUCUAAGUUAUGGCACAUAUAGGACACUUGGCAUAAUUUUGUGCCUCUAAGUUUUGGUACAUACAUCAGUCCCCCCUACAAGUGUAUUUUUAUUUAAAAAUCCUUUAUUAAAAAAGUGGCGUUUUUGUAAUAUAUGUUAUUCUUCUCAAAAUAUAGUACUCCUAUGUUGACCACACACUUAUGUAGCCUAGGAAAGCAUGCUACAAAUAUUUUUUUCAAUUAGGGUAUUCCAUUAUAUUAGGGACGAAAUUUGUCAAGAAACCACUUUAAUUCAGUUUGAAUGCUUGAAUUGCGCUGAUAUUUACUACUACACACUUACACAAUUUGGGAAGGUAGACAUGAAGGGGACAAUGAUUUGGAAUAAAAAGGAAAAUAAAAUAGAUUGCUCUUGUCAAAUGAUGGAUUCUACUAGAAUCUCAUGUCGACACAUUUUUUAUGUCAUGAAAGUGGAACAGUUUGUACAAAUUUCUGAAAAUAUGGUUUAUCAUCAAUGGACAAAAAAGGCCAAGGAUUAUACAUAAUGCAACUUAGUAGUACCAUAAGUUGACAGUGAGGUUUCUAAUAUUGCUAGAUUUAAUGCUUUAUGUACCGCUAGUAAUAAAAUGUGCUUUUAUGUGGCAAACAAUGAGCACUCAUGUAAAGAGGCUUUAGUUGAGAUCAAUUAAUUGACAUCAAAAUUUCAACAACUCUUUGGAGGACAAAGAAUUAGCAACUGAAGUCUUGUAGUCGGUCCAUAAAGAAAUUCAAGGGUACUAGAUCCAGUUGUAGUGAGGACAUAAGGUUCUGCAACAAGAAUAAAAAAAGUUGCUAGAAAUUAUAGGAAGUGUAACGUUUGUAGGGAGCCUGGCCAUAUAGCAAGAAGUUGUCUUACUGGCAUCAACGACAGCAUGUAACUUGUUUUUAUGUUUGUUGUUUAUUGUUUCAUAAUUUGUGGCAACUAAAUUUCAUUUUAUUCAUGAAUGAUUAUUUGCAGGAGUAAUGAAGCCAAUGUUAGUAACAACGAUGGUUGAAGUAGUUCUAAGUUAGCUAGCCCAAAUGAACAAUUUUUAUUCAACAAUAGUGAAACAUCAUAUGAAGUUGAAACCUAAAAUGAAUGUGGGAGUAGUUCUCAAGUGUUCUCAAAAUCCAAUGAUUAUUUCUAGAAUAACUCAUCAAUGUCACCAUCACUGGGAGGAAAUACCUUUAUAUUUCUUCCAUAUCCCAACAUGCACUCUAAUUAGUGGCCUCUUGACAAUUCAUUUGACUAAUUGGAAGACAUAACUAUUAAUUGUAUUUGACUUUGCACAAGAUGAGCUUUAAUUGAAGCUUGUGCUAGUGUGUUACCAUUUUAAAAUGUUAUACGCUUAAAUUUGUAUGUUGGAUGUUCAUCAUCAUGUCUCAUGCAUAAAAAAUGGCAUUUGAAAUUUUUUGGGAUCAUAAAAUAGUCUCAGAAUUGAUAAAAAAAAAAUGGUGCAAAUUUCAAGGAACCGACUAAUUACUUUCUUUAAGUGGCUAGCCGCUAGUGAGGCAGAAACUAAUCGGCUAGCCGCCUAAAAGAAAGCAACUAACUGCUUAGUUUCUGGAACUGAAGUGGUUAACCACUUUAUUCCAAUAGUUAGCCAACUUCAUAUAUUAUAAGGCAUGUUCAUCAUCUUCCUUAUUCAUUAUUUCUCUCUCUACAUUGUUUUCAUUUCCAACUCUCUCUCUAGAAUUCUUCAUUUUCCACUCAAUUUCUUGCCAAAGCGAGCCUCCAAAUCUAUUUUCCAUUCAUUAAACCUCACCCAUUCACUCCCAAGACACAAUUUCCUCGUUUAUAUUUAAAAUCCCCAAAUCCGUAAACCUAGGUUACUUGUUUCACAUACUCUCAAAUUUGAGUUACUUUUUACUUAUUCUUGACCAAAUUAAACCCAUGCAUUCACUUAAAUAUUCUCUACGAACAUAUGCUUAGGUUCAAAAUUAUCCUUUCUCUCAAUAUCUUAUGAAACCGAAUCCAAGAAAUUUGGGUAUAUUGGUAAAGUCACAAUGGCUGGUAGUGAGAAAUCCAAGGGCAAGCAAAAAGCCAAGUAGCAAAAAAAAAAAAAAACUCCCUGAGGACAUUCCAAAAAUUAUUUCCAUUCACUUUUCAAAGCCGCCUUUACAGAAACACUAUUACAAUCGUUUUAUGACAAGGUCAAUUAUAUAAUCCUACUAUGUCAACAUGGAUAAGCUUGAUAAUUUAUCAAUUUGUAGCAAAACUCUUAGGACUUUGCCAGUUAAUAUGGGUUGGAAAAAUGUCUUAGUUUUUAAGAAACUAGUUAUUCGAACUUAGUGUGAGUGUUCUAUUCAAAUGUGCUUAUUUCUUUUAAUCUUGUAAGUAGGGUUUUUCCAAAUUUUGUUGGAAUUCCUAUUGAGUUUGAUGUGGAGGAUUUAAACAUGAUACUUAGAACUAAGAAUGAGGGAUUCCAUGUGUAUACAUUUAGAAAUAAGAUUGAUCAUCCCUGAUACUUAGUGGUAAAUGUUGUUUGGAACUGAUACAAGAGAUUCGAUUUAUCAAAAUAAUUUUGUAACUCCGCCCUUAAGUCCUAGGCUUUAUUUUCAAGUUCGGGUCCUACAUAGUGUUCUUCAGUUAGUCAUCGAAAGGGACAUGUUGACGAGAUUACGUGUCUAGAUGUUGCCUUACUAGAUAGCAUUUUUGUGGGAUGAAAAUUUAAUGUGGGCUAUAUUAUCCUUCAGCAUAUGCUUAGCACCCUAGUUAUAGCAUCUUGAUCUCUUCCUUUUGGUAGUAUCAUCACAUUUAUCCUUAAGCAUUUUCGGGUCUCUAUAUCUGAACCAUCUCAUUAUGAACCCAAAGAGUUAGGGCACAAAGGCCAUUGCCAGUUUAGGAUUUGCAUUGAGUAUGUCAAUGAUCAGAACCUCGUGAACAAACUUAUAUAGAUUGCUCCUUCCGAUCAUCGUAUGUUUAACAAUGUGCUUCUCCCUGACCAACUUUCUGACCUUAGUGCUUCCUUACGAUCACAAGCUCCACCCGUUCAUUUGAUGCUCCAUCGUCAUCUUCAGUCGUUCCAGCAGAUUCGAUGCAACAGCUGUUGACUGAAGUACGUUCUAUAUCCAUACAGCAAAGUGAACUUUAGUCUUAGUUCGCGACAUUUCAUGAUUAUUUCCUUUCUGAGCAGUAGCGUCUAUUUGCACAGAAGCAUCAUAUUCUAGAUGGCCAGCAACUAAUCUUUUGUACUCUCAGGAUUCAUCCACCAUCCUCAUCUUUAUCUCAGCCUCCUAACCAAUGAUUUUUUCUUUUAUGAUCCCCUAGUUAUGCACUGACAUUAUUUAUGUUAUGCCUUUUUUUAAGACUAAUAAAUACACGAUGUAUUUUGUUUAUGCAUUAUGGAUAUUUUUCUUCGUAUGGUUUAUGUAUUUGUGUGCAUCUUUGAUUGGUGAAUCUUGUGAGGGACUUAUGUUGAAGUAGUUUUUAGUGGUGACGGGGAAGAAGAUUGUAUAUGUAUUUUAAGUGUUAGUGAAGUGUUGAUAAAUAUAGUAAUACUUAAGGGGAGUUUAUAAAAUGAUGUAAUAUGGAUUAAUACGGUUCAUGUACAAAAAUUAGGGGAAUAUAAGCAUUUGGGGCAAAUUUUUAAAUUCAGAAAACAGCUCUUCAAAAAUAAAAACUUAGCAGCUAACCAUUUUAAGGCAAACAACCAAUCGCUUCCCUUUUAAAAAGGUGGUGGCUAGUCGUUUGAUUUAAGCAGCUAACCAUUUAGUUCACAGAAAGAUAGCAACUAGCCGACUGAUUCUAGCAUUUUGAAAUUCUCUCUUUAGCCUUGCUUUCCAAAAACUUAGCAGCUAAUCGCUUCUUAUGAAGCGACUAAUCGUAUCUCAUCUUGAAAGAUAACGACUAGCCGACUUAUUCUAGCGGCUAUUCGACUAUUUCUAGUAUUUUGAAAAUCUCUCUUUAGCUUACUUUCCAAAAACUUAGCAGCUAACCGCUUCUCAUCCAGAAAGAUAACGGCUAAUCGAUUGCUUCUAGAAUUAUAAAAUUCUCUUUAAUGUUAACCACAAGCGCACCAAGGCACCAUCAACCGUAAUACCUUAACUUAUAAAAAAUAUACAUUAUAUAAGUAGAGCGCAUUCGAAACAACAUUCAUUACAAAAAAGUUAUCACAAUAUAAUCGCCACAACAAUGUUUGUGGUGAGUUAUCAAUAAUGUAUACUACAAAAAUCAAUGUAUAAAAUGUUCAUUUCAUAUUCCACAACUAAAUCUACUACAAAUGUGGAAUUUCAUACAAAUCCCAUCAACAAGACCUACCAUUUAUGGCCGUAUUCUUUUUUAUUUUUUUCCUUGAGCUUUUGUACCUAAUUUAUAUGUGUUCACCUUCUGUGUGGAGGCUAUAGCGUUUGCCUGGGCAGCAUGUUCCUCAAUGUUACAUUUGCUUUAGUGAACAAUUGGGCUCGUGCUUCAUUGAAGGCCAAGUCUAUAAAUUGAACUUGAUCAAAACGAUGAGGUGACAAUGAGUUAAUAUUAAAAUUUUAAAAUUUUAAUUCUUACCAUAUAUGAUUGACACGACUAAAAAAUGUAUUACUCUCAAGUAUAAGAGUGUCUAAUUAUAAUAUAAUCCGGUGAGUCCGGGGUCGAACCACAAGGAAUUUUAAAUAUAGUAAAACUAAGAAAAUAAAUUGCGGGGUAAAGAAAUUAUUUGAAAUUGAUUUAAAAAUAAGCUAAGACUACGGGAUCCACUCUCAGUAUUCAAACUAUAAUUUUAAUACUCUCUUAUUUUUAUCCUCACUUUUUCCAGUUAAUUAUUAUAUCAUUUAAUUCUCAACUAACUAUGUGUUUGGAUAAAUAUGAAAUAAAGUAUCUAAUGUGCCACACUAUAUUAAUGUGUCGACAUUAUGUCAAAAUACCAUACAGAUCCAAAGAAAUUUAUAAAUUAAUAUGGCAUAAAAAUAACUAGAAAAGAAUAAAAUAAACUUUGAACUCAUUUGAGAAAAUAAUAAAUUUAAUAGUUUGAAACAUUGAGCUUCACCCUUAACCUCAGUUUAAUAAAAUUAACCAUUCAUAUUGAAAGAAAACACAACACUCUUUUUAUUUGAUAAACUUUUGAAAUAUGUUAUAAGGAAAAUUGAUACAAAAGGAAACAAGAAACGAAAAGAAAGAAAGAUAGAAAUUCUUCAGUCUCGGCUUCAGCUUUCCAAAUAGCUCUCUAGCUUCUAGCCAUCGGCUCUCGUGUCAAUCGCUUGCCACCCCUUGCCUUUUAUAGGCAAAGUAAAUCAUCUUCUUUUAUUUUAUUUUAUUAAUAUUAAUAUUUUAUUUUAUUUUAUUUUUAUAUUAUAUUAGUAGUUGAAAACAAAAUGGCAAAUUUGAUAAAUAAAUAUCAGGAAGAAAUUGAAGAACAACAUAUGAACAUGUAACAUACUAUGAGUUCAGUUUGUUGCUCACGUUUUCGAUUACUUCGACCACCAGGAAGAGGAUCCCAAAUCUCACCAUAUUCUUCUUUUUUCAUAUUCACGAUGAAUAGGAACCAACGAAAUGCACCAUCAUUAAUUGGAACAUAAAUCUAAAAAAAAUAAAAAUUCAGUAUCUUUCUUAUAGAAGAUGUUUUAUAAUAAGUAAACAAUUAAUCAGUUAAGAAUUUAAAAAGUAACCUUUGCUCCUUUGAAAGUCUAGCAUAAAAGGUUUUCCAACUCUAGCUGUCUGUACAAAACCAUCUAGGUCAGCUCCAACGGUAAGUGUUAAUUACUACAAAAGAAAAAUAAGUAAAUAAGUGAUAAAUCAGUAAAUAGCUCAUUGAAAAAACCUUAUUGUAGAUAGCAAUGUUUGAAAAAUUACUAUAGAUAAACAACUUCAAUUCACAUAGAAAUAAUAGUACUAGAUACUUACUGCAUAUAGUGUCGGUAAAUACCAGUUUAUUGGUUGCUGAAGAGGAAGGUGGAGCUGUUUCAUAAUGAACUAAGGUGGAGAUUUGUGAAGCCGAGAGUUAGUUACAUUCUGUUAAUGAUGAGGUGGCAGUGAGUCAGCUUAUGUGGGCCAGCUUGUGGUUAAUUAGUUAUGACCAAGAGUUGUAUAAAUAACAGAACCAAGGUUGAUCACUAUAGAUCUUUUUCGACUAAGUUGAGUGACUAAUACUGAGAGUGAGGAUUCUUGGUUUAGUGAGAUUUGUUCUCUAAUAUUUGUAGUCACAUUGUAAUCAGUCUUAAGCAAUAAAGUUUCACACCCUUUAGGGUUCUUCAGCCGUGGAUGUAGGUACCUUGGUAUCGAACCACGUUAAAAUCUUCUUCAUAGUUUGUCUUCAGUAUUUUGGUUUAUUUAUGUUCUUGUGAUUGUUUUGACCAAAUCUUAGUGAUUAAUCGAGUGUCAUUAUUCAUCUUUUACAUAACAGAUUGGUAUCAGAGCCGAUAAGCUCUCUGUUCUUAUUUCUUUCUUUCAAGAAUGGCAGCCACAAGGUUUGAUCUUGAAAAAUAUAAUGGUGAUAACGAUUUCUACUUAUGGAGUCUGAAAAUGAGAGCCAUCUUGAUUCAACAGGGCUUAGAUAGUGCCCUCGAUGAUGAGGAAGAAUCAAGGUCCAAGAAAGAGAAGGGGGAAGGUUCGUUAAUUUCAAGUGGAGACUUGAGGACCAUAAACAACAAAGCUCAUAGCACGAUUAUACUCCAUCUAUCUGAUGAAGUGCUGAGAGAAGUAGCCAAGGAAAAGACUGCCUCUGGCUUGUGGGCAAAGUUGGAAGAACUUUUCUUAAGGAAAUCUCUUGCUAAAAGAUUAUACAUGAAAAUGAAGCUCUACACAUUUUCAAUGAAGGAGGGGACAGUAAUGAAGGAUCAUCUUGAUGAGUUCAACAAACUGAUACUCGAUCUUGAAAAUGUCAGCAUCAUACUCGAGGAUGAAGAUAUGGCUCUCAUCCUGUUAAGCUCAUUGCCAGACUCCUAUGAACAUUUCGUGGACACUUUGCUCUAUGGAAGACAGACCCUCACCUUGAAAGAUGUCAAGAAUGCUCUUGAAUCAAAAGAUUUGAAAAAGAGAGCAGAUGGCAAGGAACAUAUUGCAGGGGAUGGAUUAGUUGCUAAAGCAAAGACAGAAAAAAAGAUGUACAAAGAUAAAAAGAACAAAAGCCAGAAAGAAAAGUUUGACAAGAAGAAGAAGAAGAGGAAAUGUUACUUCUAUCAGAAGGAAGGACAUUAUAUAAAAGACUGUUUUGAGAAAAAGAAGUUAGAAAAGUUACAGAAAGAAUCAAGUGGGAAGGCUGAUGUUGUAUCUGUAGAUGAAAGAGAAUUAGAAGAUGUAUAUGUCCUUAUUACAACAGAUAAGAAAUCUUCUGGUGAAUGGAUACUGGACUCAGGUUGUUCCUUUCAUAUGUGGCCACAUAAAGAUUUUUUUGUGACUUUUGAAAGUAUUGAUGGGGGUAAAGUUUUGCUUGGAAAUAAUCUAGCCUGUAAAAUUGCUGGAAUAGGGUCUGUUAGGAUUAAAAUGUAUGAUGAUUCAGUAAGAAGCUUGGAACAAGUGAGAUAUGUUCCAGAGCUUAAAAGAAACCUCAUAUCUUUAGGGAUGAUAGAUUAAUUGGGCUGCUGCAUAAAAGUAGAAAAUUGUGAACUUCAAAUCCUUAAAGAUGGUAUAAUCAUAAUGAAAGACAAUAGGAGAAAUGGACUGUAUGUGCUUAAAGGAUAAGUUAUGUUACCUGGUAUUAUUACAAAUGUAAGUAGCGAUAAAACCAGGCAUUGGCACAUAAGAUUAGCACACAUGAGUGAGAAAGGAUUAAAGGAGUUGAGUAAGCAAGGACUACUAGGAACUGACCAAAUUACAGCACUUGAAUUCUGUGAAAAAUGUGUAUUUGGUAAAGCAACCAGGUAGAAGUUUAUUCCAGGAAAGCAAGAGACAAAAAAUACAUUGGACUAUAUUCAUUCAGACCUAUGGGGGCCCUCUCAAGUUCUCUCUCAUGGAGGAGCUAGAUACUUCAUUACUUUCAUUGAUGAUUUUUCAAGGAAAGUCUGGGCAUAUGUACUGAAGCACAAGAGUGAAGCUUAUGAGAAAUUUAAAGCUUGGCUGACUUUAAUAGAAAAUCAAAUAGAGAGGAGGGUCAAGAGGCUAAGAACUGAUAAUGGGCUUGAGUAUUGUUACAAUGAUUUUGAUCAACUCUGCAUCAAGAAGGGAAUAGCAAGGCACAAAACUGUAAGGCACACACCUCAGCAGAAUGGACUAGCCGAAAGGAUGAAUAGGACCUUAGUUGAGAAGGUAAGGUGCAUGCUGUUUAAUGCAAAUCUUUCAAAACAUUUUUAGGCAGAAGCUGUUACCACUGCAGCUUACUUAGUCAAUAGGAGCCCUUCAACAGCUUUGCAUUUCAAGACUCCCCAAGAAGCUUGGUUAGGAAAGCCUCUAGAUCUCAGCAACCUUAGGGUAUUUGGCUGUCUUGCUUAUGCUCACCUAAACCAAGGAAAAUUAGAGCCAAAAGCUGUCAAUGGUUAUUUCAUAAGCUAUCCAUAGGGUGUCAAAGGGUAUAAGAUCUUGUGCAUAGAUGGAAAACUUUCAAGAACUUUGAUCAGUCGAGAUGUUGUGUUUGAUGAAGAGUCUAUGCUACAUCAGAAGGUAGAAACAGAGUUCAUUACACCUGAUACAAAUGGGGUUCAGGAACACAAUUUUGAGGUGGAGUCAAGUGAAGAAAAGAAAACUGCAGAAUGGGAUCCCAAGCCUUAUCAGAAAACAUACACCACCUCUCAAAUACAUGACUAUCAGCUAACAAGAGACAGGGAAAAGAAAGUCAUUAAACUACCCAAAAGAUAUGGAAUAACUGAUAUGAUUUCUUAUGCUCUGGCAGUAGCUGAAGAAGUCAUUGGUGAAGAGCCUGUUAGCUACUAACAAGCUAUGGGCAGUAAAAAAAGAGAAAUUGUUAGAUGCCAUGAAUGAAGAAAUCAUCUCUCUAAAGAAGAAUAGAACAUGGAUUUUGGUCAAGAAACCUCAAGAUAAAAGGCUAGUAGGUUGCAAAUGGAUCUAUAAAAUUAAAGAAGGGACUGUGGAUGGUGAGCCUCCCAGGUACAAGGCAAGGCUUGUAGCAAAGUGGUUCACACAAAAGCAUGGAGUGGAUUUCAAUAAGGUAUUCUCUCCUGUUGUCAAAUAUAGUUCCAUAAGAAUUCUACUGGCAAUAAUAGCACUCAAUGACCUAGAAUUGGAUCAAAUGGAUGUGAAGACAGCCUUCUUACAUGGGAAUCUUGAAGAAGAAAUCCUUAUGGAUCAGCCUGAGGGGUUCAUUGAAGAAAGAAUUGAAGAUAUGGUAUGUUUGCUGAAUAGGAGGUUGUAUGGGCUGAAGCAAUCUCCAAGACAGUGGUAUCUGAGGUUUGAUGAAUUCAUGAUCAGCCAUGGAUAUUGUAGAAGUCAAUAUGAUAGCUGUGUGUAUUUUAAAACUUUAUCCUCUGAAGAUAGAAUUUACCUCCUUCUUUAUGUUGAUGACAUGCUUAUUGCAUGCAAAAGAAGAGAGAAGAUUGAAAGGCUUAAAAUGGAGUUGAACACUGCCUUUGAAAUGAAAAAUCUGGGGACUGCUACAAGAAUUCUAGGAAUGCAAAUAGUGAGGAAUAGAAGUGAAGGAACCUUGUUUCUUACUCAAGCUGUGUAUGCUAAAAGGAUCCUUAGCAGAUUUGAGAUGAGUGGUGCAAAGCCUGUGUCAGUACAUUUGUCAGCACACUUCAAAUUGUCAAAACUUCAGGAACCAAAAGAGGAUCAUGAUCUUGAGCAUAUGAAAUCAGUGCCUUACUCAAGUGCAGUUGGUAGCAUAAUGUACUCUAUGGUUUGUACUAGACCUGAUGUAGCUCAUAGUGUAGGAGUUGUUAGCAGGUUUAUGGGGAACCCAGGGAGGGAACAUUGGAGUGCUGUCAAAUGGUUGUUGAGGUAUAUGAGUGGUACUGCAAAUCAUGGAAUUUUGUAUGGAGGUUCUGAUAAUAACUCAUAUAAAGUAUCAGGCUUUGUGGACUCAGAUUUUGCUGCUGAUCUGGACAAAAGAAGGUCCAUUACAGGAUAUGUUUUCAUUCUAAAUGGAGGUGCAGCGAGCUGGAAAGCAUCUCUUCAGUUAGUGGUUGCUUUAUCCACAACUGAGGCUGAGUACAUUGCAUUGACAGAAGCAGUCAAAGAAGCAAAGUGGCUAAGUGGGUUAGUUUCUGAGUUUGGAUUAAAGCAGGAUUCAGUUUGCAUUGGCUGUGACAGCUCUAGUGCAAUUCAGCUCAGUAAGAAUCCUAAGUAUCAUGAAAGAACAAAAAUAUUGAUGUUAGGUUACAUUUUGUCAAGGAUGAAAUUGCAAAUGGUGUUGUAAAUGUUGUUAAGGUUCCUACUCAAACUAAUCCUGCAGAUAUUCUAACCAAAGUAGUACCUGCAAUCAAGUUUAGAAACUCUCUGAACUUGAUUGGUGUUGGUAGCUUGUAAAACCAGGCUAGUGGUUGCUGAAGAGGAAGGUGGAGCUGUUUUAGAAUGAACUAAGGUGGAGAUUUGUGAAGCCGAGAGUUAGUUACAUUCUGUUACUGGUGAGGUGGCAGUGAGUCAGCUUAUGUGGGCCAGCAGGUGGUUAAUUAGUUAUGACCAAGAGCUGUAUAAAUAACAGAACCAAGGCUGAUCAUUGCAAUCUUUUUCGACUAAGUUGAGUGACUAAUACUGAGAGUGAGGAUUCUUGGUUGAGUGAGAUUUUUUCUCUGACAUUUGUAGUCACAUUGUAAUCAGUCUUAAGCAAUAAAGUUUCACACCCUUUAGGGUUCUUCAGCCGUGGAUGUAGGUACCUUGGUACCGAACCACGUUAAAAUCUUCUUCAUAGUUUGUCUUCAGUAUUUUGGUUUAUUUUUGUUCUUGUGAUUGUUUUGACUAAAUCUUGGUGAUUAAUCGAGUGUCAUUAUUCAUCUUUUACAUAACACAAAGUAUGAGGUAUAUGCUAUCAUGGUAAGAAUCUAAAACAGUUUUCAGUAAAUGUCAAUUUAAUAUUCAACAACAAUAAGACAUCCAAACAUAUAGUAAGUAAAGUUAGUGGCAAUACACCAUAUACCUCUUUAUUCAGAGCUAUGUUAGGCAAAAGGCUUAUGAAAUUAUGCCUAGAGAUAAAUUGAUCAUUAGUAGAGAUAAUGAUCUCACUGAAAACGCAAACAAAUAAUAAAGUGCUCGGUAAUUAAGACAUAUGUACAAGGGAAUAAAAAAUAAAAAUCUAUAUAAACCACAAGUACCUUUCAUUACCAUCUCUAUUAAAUACAUAUUGAACGAGCUUCAAUUGGUCAAAAGAAAGAGGGUUAUUUACAUAGAAAGGAGCUUUAAACUUAGCCUUCGCUCCCUAAGAAACUUUAUCAUGAGGAGAAAGUUGGUAUCGUCCAGGCCUUCUGUUCCUUACUGGUCAUGUUGCCAGUACACUCAUGCUAGUGGAGGUUUGGAACUCUUGCUUAGUGUCAAUUGAUUCGGCCAAAUUCUAUAAAAGUUUAAGCUCGAAUUUAAUUCAUUAUCAUUGAAAUCAAAUUACAACUAAAGAUUGCAUGGACAAACCUCUCAUUCCUCUUGGGGUACCGUUAUUAGAUUAGGAACAUAACCUCUAUCAAACAUAAAUUAAUCGAGUAGAUUUUCGCUAACUUGUACAAUAGUCCCAAUACAGCCCAACGUGGCAUCAAAGACACGUAAACAUGCUUUCACUCUACGAUCCACGGAGUCAUCAUCACUGACCAAAAUUAUUUUCCCUUUAGCUUUUGACAUUGUUUUUCUAUUACGAGAUGUAGGAUUUCAACUUUUCAGAUUUGAAGGUGGAUCAGGAGCAUAUGGUUGUUUGGUUAAUUCUCCAUGAUAAGUUGAUGUCAAUUCACCCAAUAAUUUUUCUAUGUUUUCCAAUUUCAAUUCAAGGGUUCGGAAUGACUCUUUGUUUCAGUCGAUGAAUGCGCCAAACCUUUCCAUUAGUAGUUGAAAAACAUCAUUAUUAACAUUAUUUCACUUGGGAGAUUCUGUCUGUUGAAGCUUAUUAAGAUGAUCAGAGUCACGCAUUGAAACCUAAAAUAAUUCAUAAAUACUAAUGAUUUAGUACAAAAUAUGGUACAUCGGUUUCAUUAAAAUAAUAGGCAAUCUUUUAUAUAUAUAUAUAUGUAUGUAUGUAUGUAUUUCACACCUUAUUACUUUUGAUGCCACCAAGCCUUUUUUCCAUUUCAAGAAUUGUGAAAUCUCAUCAUUUUUCCUUCUAUCAAUAAAAGGUCAAUCAUAUACAAUAGAACAAAAAUAGAACAAUUGUGCAUCAAUGACAAAGUACAUAUGUUAUAAGUUGAAAUAACCGAAACGCAAGAAACAAGUAAAACACAAUAUUACAAUUACAUUUUUUUAUUAAACAUACCUUUAAGCAGAGAAUGCAGCCACCAAUGAAGCUUACUUUAUUUUUUUUAUUGUCGAGAUGACAUGACAGCAGAUGUUAUGAACAUGAAAAGUGACGAUAGCGAUGACAUGAACAUGAAAAGUGUCACAAGUACUGCCUCUCAGCUAAUAAGCAGUGCCAUCGAAGGAAAGCUUCAGUGUCAGUCAUCACUAUUGCACCGCCUCUCAUUAAGUUGUCGACGUCUUCAUCUUGAUCUCAGGUUCUGUUAUGUGUUUUAUUUUUAAUUUCUUUUUUUGAUUAUUCAUUUAGAUUAUCGACUAGCUUAUUAUAAAUUAGGGCUUUCAUUAGUUUGCAAUUAGUUAUCGAAAAUUGAAAUUAGUUGUCAUAUUUCAUAAAUUCUUGAGAUAAGGUUUGAUUGUGCCUAUUUUUGCACAAACUUUGAAUGUUGCAAUUAGUUUAUUAUCUUUUAGCCUUUAAUAAUUGCUGCACAAAUUGAAUUAAAAUUUGGAAUGUUGUUUCGGAAGUUGAAGUUAGCUAAAGGUGAAAAGAUUGAUAAAUUAACAAUAUGUGAAUGACAACUUAUUCUAUCAUCUGAUUGUGGGUUGCAUUAAAAUUUAAUAAGGUAAAAAUUAGUAGGGGAUUUUAUCUUGACUAAUCUUAUGAAUCUUUAAAAUGAUGAUUUUUAGUAAUUGUUGUGACUAUAUUUACAUAAUCUUAAGACAAAUAUAAUAUUUACUAUAAAUCACAUAUUGUGAUAAAUAUAGUGUCAUUAAUUGCAUUUUUUGAAUCUCUAAUUUGAUCAUUUUGAAUACUAUUUGUGACAGUUUUAAGUUAAUUCUCAAAUAAUUAUAUUUGUUACAAAAACAUAUUUUUGACAUGAUGAAAAUAAUUUUCGUUGGUAGAACCUUUUAAGACGGUUUUUCCACGACUAGCAUGUGAUGAUAUAUUUUUUGUCAUAAAAAAUAUAAAGUGACUAAUUUAUUAUUUUUAGUGACUAAUUUUUUGUAAUAAAAUAUCAUUUUUCUUGUAGUGAAGGCUCAGAGAAAUUUGAAUGAUAAAAACUUAGUCUUGUUUUGAAAGUUAUCAAAAAAUGGUAUACAAAUUACUAAGUGUGCAAAUGAUACAUAUGAGAGCUUCUAUAAAAAUAUAUAUUCUUUUCAUUGGGUUAAAUUGAUAAUUUAAUUUUUUUUCUUUUUAUUAAUGUAAAAAAAACUUUAUUAUUAGAAGGUAAUAGUACAAAAAUAAGUUAAAAGUAAAAAAAAAAUAACGAUAAAAAUAUGUUUUGAGAUAUUUUAAAAAAAUAUAAAAAUUAAAGGAGUUGUUAGCUUAAAAAAAUAUAUGAAAUAAAUCGACUUUUACCCCCAUCUAACUCAAUAAUCUAAUACCAGCGUCCAUGGCCAAUUGCAAUCCAAAACGACAAGCUACCGCUUGAGCAUAUUCUACGUUCUCUGGAAACUCAAAGCAAUCAAUAGCUGGGUUAGAACCAUAUAACCAUGACAAUGGCAACUGAACCCGCCAACUGCCCACUAUUCCCCGUGGAAGCAUCAACAUUCAGCUGCCUGCCAAAAAUGUAAAACAGUUCUCGGUACAGAUUCCAAGUCAGCCACCUUCCGAGCUUGCACCUCUCGGAACGUUGUAAAAGUAAAUUGCCCUGAGUUUUAAAAUUAAUCAUAUCUAUUUAACAAAUAUUACUAUUAUGUUCAUUCAUAUGACUAAAAUAGAUCUAUUAAUUGUUGACGUUUAUAUAAAUAUGUAUAUAUACUAUUUUUGAUUGUGUAACAGAGAUUGUAACAUUUUUCAAUUUUUGGUUUGAUAUUCUGGAAGAAAACGGUUUGUCGUUUCUAGAGAAAACGGCUAACCGUUUAAUUUCAGAGAGCAUGUUUUCUGUUUUAAAGAAAAUGCCUAACCGUUUGGAGAAAACGGCUAAUCGUUUUAAUUCUAGAGAGCAUGUUUUCUGUUCUAAAGAAAAUGACUAACCGUUUUAAUUCCAGAGAGCAUGUUUUUGCAUCAACUGAAAAAACGGUUAGCAAGUUUGAAAAAUUCAAUUGUCAAUCGAUGCAAAUUCAAACCAAAAGAGUGUCUUUGAAGAAGUACCAUUUCUAAUGGUUGUAUUCUUUCAAAUAAACAUAUUCUUCAUAAAAGAUAGACAUAUAACUAGAUCAAUAUAAGAUUUUGCAGGUUUCAUAUAUGUUUUGGAAAUACAAUCUUAUUUGCUAGAGAUUGUAUUCAGGAUUUGAUAUAUCUUGUAGGUAAUUUGACAUUAAAACUCUAUAGCAAACCAAGAUUGGUGAGGGUAAAUAAAACCUUAAAGAAAAGUGUGCAAACACGUCUCAAAUCCUAAGAAAUUUUCUUUGUUUUUUGCCUCUAUAUUCGACCAUUCUCCAACAAAUUGUGCAUAUAAUAAUAUAAAAAUGAAAAAAAUAUUAUACUUUAGGAGUGAUUAGCAAGUUGUCUAAAGUUGUUCCUUUUCUAUUAUGGUCAUCGAGAGUUUGGACAAGCACGAAUAAAUUGCAAUUUGCAAAUUGAAAGUAACGUUGCAUGAACUUCAUUUGUUUCUAGAUAUUUUUAAACUAAAAAAAGAAGAAAAAUUCACCCCUACCGAAAUAUAAAACUCAAGAAGAAAAGCAAUUACAUCAACUAAUUAAAUAUAUCUUGCACCCACGAAAAAAGAAAAAGAAAAAUUAAUAAUCAUAACAUAAUAAUUUUAAACCAAUCCUCAGUUGCAAACGAGAAAAAUAAAAAAUUUAGGAAAAAAAACAUAGUUUCUAAAAUUUACAUUUAAAUUUAUAAUACCAUUUAAAAACUUAAAAUUUAUUCCCAAUAAUUUUAAUUUUCGAAUGAUAUACAUACAUACAUACAUACAUAUACACAUAUAUGUAAAUGUGUGUGUAUGUGAGAUUUUUUGUUUAAAAAUUAAAAGCUUAUAGAAUAGUAAGUUUAAAAAAAGAUGAAUUUUAAUUUAACUAACAAUGUACACAUAUCUAAUUAGAUUUAAAAAAUUUAGAUUUAUCAUUUAAUCCCAACGUCCAUGGACCAUUCUAUAUUUCCAUAGGAGUAUUUUGAUAACGGUCACAGAAUACACAUUAAAAUCAUAUAAGAGUACCUUUAAUUGACAAAAUAAUGAAAAAAAAUAGUGUUAAUAUGGUAACACCAGUUACAACGACUACAAUGGUAAAUGUCAUAAAAUAAUGUUAUAUAUUUUAAUUUUUUUAUUUUUAAUAAAUUAUUUUAAAUAAUACGACAUUCAUCAUUUAGUUAACAAAAUAAUACAAUUUAUUUAUUUAAAUUUUGUAAAAAAAUUAUCAAAAUUGUAUGUUAUCUAAAAUAAGAAAUUUAGAUUAUCAUUCAAUAGAUAGCUCAUCAUAUAGCUGGCUGGGAGUGCGCUCUGUCCCCAACCUUUUCAAGUGUCUCUUUCUUUUCACGAUCUCACAAAUCAACCUCGGAAGCAUCAAUUUGCACCCAAGUUCAAAGGUUUUAGCCUUGUCUUCCAUCCAAAAUUUGUCUCAUUUUCUAGGGUUAGGGUUUUCUUUCAGUUACAAAAGCCAUGAGUGAUUGGCAGCCUCUUCUGCAAUCAAUACUCAUAGGCUUACUCUUCUCUUAUCUUGUGGCUAAGUUAAUCUCUGUGGUCCUUUCUUUCAAAGAAGAUAAUCUCUCUAUCACUCGCAGUAACAAUAACAACUACAAUGAACCAAAGCGGACUAAAGACGACGUAGUCGUCGCCGCCCCGAAUCCGCGCGGCCCGGAGGCGGAUUCGGGUCGGCCUCACGAUACGGAGUCGAUGAUCGCGGAGCAAGGAAGCGUGAGGAACGAAGAGAGCUUGCCUUGCAGUGAUGUUGACAGCGAUGGUGACGAUGAUUGGGAGGGUGUCGAGUCUACGGAACUGGAUGAGAUGUUCAGUGCGGCCACGGCAUUUGUGGCGGCCAGUGCUGCUGCCUCGUCGAAGAAGGUGUCCAAUGAUGUGCAGUUGCAGCUCUAUGCGUUGUACAAGAUUGCCACUGAAGGUCCCUGUAGUGCUCCCCAGCCUUCUGCGUUGAAAAUGACCGCUCGGGCCAAGUGGUAUCCUUCUUUUAUUUGUUUAAUUAUUUUUCUUUUUUACAAAGAUAAUUCCUCAAUUAAUGACAAUUGGGGGAUUUUUUUUUCUUUCACUGUAGUGGCGUAGUGUAUAUGUUUUCACUGUGUUUCUAAUUUGGGUCCGUUUUUAUUUGUGGUGCCUCUGCUUAAGCUGAAAGCACAACAGUUGAAGUGUUUUGGUAAAUACUCAUUUUUACUUGUUACGUCAUGUUUACUGGGACACCCACUUGCUUAUAAUAGACAGCUAGUGACUCCAUUUCACAGUAGCACCUCAUUUUCAAAGAUACCCGUAGUCGUUGAGCUUACUUUUGUGAUUGUUCUUGACAAGUUUAUGCUCUCUUUUAUUGUGGAGCCUAUUGAAAUUUUCUGUUAUCUAUUUGAAAGUUGCUUUAAUGGUAGAAGUAGUUGAAAUUUAUGGAAGUGACUUGGGAAGAAUGCAUUGGAGUUAAAGAACAUUCUUAUCGUUCAGCUAGGAACUUUAAGUGGCCAGAUUGUAUGUUUGCCUUAGUUGUUUCUGCAUCUCUUGUCAUUUUCUUAAGAAUUAUAUCUAACUGUUUGCAUUCAUUAUUAAAACAAAAAAAUGGUAAUUUAGAGUUCCUUGCUGAAUUGUAUGUGUUAUAUGACGACACAUGCACAUAUUGUUCAUGGGAAAGACAGAUAGUCACAAGAGCAGCAGAACUUGAUUUCAUGAGUACGAAUUUAGGGGUAUGUGCUAUGUGUCUGCUUUGGAGAUCUUGUGGUCGAAUGGUAAAGUAUCUUUUUCUUUGUUGUUCUCUAGGCAAGCAUGGCAGAAAUUGGGUGCCAUGCCUCCAGAAGAAGCAAUGCAGAAAUACAUUGAUAUUGUUACAGAGCUGUAUCCUACUUGGGCUGCUGGUUCAUCUUUGGUGAGGUUUUAAUCUUUUCAUUUUACCAUUGAGUUCUUUAUUUUGCACUGCAACACAUCUGCUUACUUAUAUUUUUUUUCGUUUUAAUAAAUUCCUUAUUUUUUUUGUUUUAAUAAAUUCCUUUUUCUUUAACUGUGAAUCUUAGAAGAGCAAACGUGGACAAGAAGAUGCGGCAAGCACAGAUUCCAAAGCACCAAUGGGUCCUGUUUUCAGCUCUUUUGCGUAUGAGGAGGAAUCUGGAAAUGAUUUGUAAGGUUUUAAUGUUAAAUUCAACAUUAUUUUUUUCGAGAGAGUAUUUAUACGGUCCUUUCUAGUUUCACUCUGGGCCUGCUUCUUUUUUCCGUAGGAUUUCUGGUGGUGUUGGAAUUGAAAGUCUUAUCUCAACUGCAAUUUUAUAACUUUUCUUUUCUGCAGUUUUAUGAAAUUCGAUGUCUCCUUCCCUCCUUUUUAUGCUUGAAUUGAAUGAUGAGCUGCCCAUUCUUAUUAAAUUGAAGUGAAAUUGCUAGAUAUUUGACUUAAUUACUAAAGUACAUGGUGACAUAGAUUUGGAUUGGUCAUGUCCUUUCUAUGGACAUAAUAUCUGGAGCAAUAUGUAUGUUGUGAGUAUCUGCAUGAAGAUUAAAAAAUUGCUCUUUUCCUUUUUUUUUUUUUUAAUUCCCUGAGGAGUUCAGUUAAACUUGCAAUUUUGCUUUUAAUUUCAUUUCUGAUACUUAUGGCAAUCGUGGUUUUUUAUUUGGUUCCAGAUGCUCUAAUUAUCUUCUUCCCAUAAGUUCAAUGCAAGCCUCCAAUUGUGCAGCUUCUACUUUUCUAUUAAGCCAUUUAAUUGUCAUUUUCUGUUAGAAUGCAAGGUUACUUGUAUGAAAUAGUUGUUACUUGGUCAAUCUUUGCAAUCUACCUUUUUCUUUCCACCUGUUUGAUGUAUAAGUGAACCUGUGGUUUUAGAUGCCAGGCCACUUUAUUUGGCAUAGAGAAUGUCUUUUUCUUCUAUGCGCUGUGGUCUAAGUGAAUCCAUGGGGUGAGGAGGGCAGAGAUUAGCCAGUCUAUGUAUGUCUUUAUAGACUGAGAAACAGAGAGUUCUGGUUAUAAGGGAAAAUGAAGAAUCCUUGGAAAUGCUAAUUCCAUACUUAUUAAAUAAGUUUAACAGUACUGUGAAUUGCGUUAAUAUUAUGGAUUCCAGUUGUUUAAUAACUCAUUAAUGUUGUUUAAAUUUCUUUUCUCUUGACUGGAAACACUAAAAUUAAUGUCAAUGCUAAUGCUGCUUUCUUUUCCAGGAAAAUGGAUGCUAUCCAUGCCUUUGCUAGAGAAGGAGACAUGGAUAAUCUGCUUAAAUGUAUUGAAAAUGGUGUUUCUGUUAAUUUGAGAGGUACUUAGUAAUUUUCUCUUCUUUUUACAUUUUCUGAAUGGCAAUGAUGAUGCUGAUGUUGACAAUGGUGAUGAUCUUUUAACAUAACUCGUGGAGAUGCUGAGCAGAUAAUGCUGUUUAGGAAAAAGCAGCCCAUCUGAGCUUUUUAUUCACCUAUUGAGUGAGCCAAGCACAAGCAUAGUGUCUGAAAUAGAUUUUUUUCUGCCGAAUUUUUGUUUAUUCAAGCAUCUCAUGAUUUAUAUUCCACAUCAAAUAGUUAAUCUUUGAAAUUGUAGAUAGUGAGGGUCGUGCUCCAUUGCAUUGGGCUGUAGAUCGCGGACACCUGAACAUCUCUGAACUACUUGUUAGCAAGAAUGCUGAUGUAAACGCCAAGGUUUGUUGGUUUUUUUUUUAUAUUUUUCUUAGAUUUUUUUUUAAGAAAAAAACCAUAUUUUAGUGGUAAAUGAUCCUAAAUAUGAAUCUAAAUGUAUAUUUUCCUGUAUCAUUACAUUUUUAUUAUUUGUUGUGGGCAUUUAUGAAGAUCAGAGAAUAUGCACUCCUCCUGGCUUUCUGUAAGGGAAAGCUUAUCGUCCCACUUUGGAAUUUAACAUAAUGUUUAUUUUAUGACUUCUGAGACAUUUAAUUUGGUUGGUUAGAAGUUAUAUGAUUGAUAUUUUCUUUCUCUAGUUUUCUAUUGAUCAGGUGAUGAUGAAUGAAAUAGAUUAAACUGAUGUUAAUGCAUGUUGAUAAAACAGAUUGUGCUAAAUCUUUGGGUAUGAAGAUUCCUUAGAUGUGGCCCUCUAUUUGCCCGGCCUUAACCUUGUCCCGUAGUAGAAUUACUAUUUCUUAAAAUAGUGGGUUAGGCUUUUCGGCAAGUUUUCAGAUGCAUAAUUGGAUUCCUAAAUGAUUUGAUUGUCUUUCAACUAUUAUAAUUGUUAUAAAAUUGACAUUUUUGUUUUGGGAGAGUAAAUGACACUCUUGUGUUUUUCGAAUGCUAGGACAAUGAAGGACAAACUCCAUUGCAUUAUGCUGUUGUAUGUGAUAGGGAAGCCAUUGCUCAGUUUCUUGUGAAGCAAAAUGCAGAUAUAGGCAUGAAGGAUAAUGAUGGCAAUUCUCCUUGUCAUGUCUGCGAGUCGGACUGGCCAUGGAUGCUACAUGCUGCUAAAGGGACUGACUGAUGGUUUGUUACAUUGUCCUGGCUGGCUUAAGUAUUUCUUGACAAAUUCUGUGUGGUUGUACAUGGCAGUAUAUAACCCUUUAACCUCUUCUAAUCGUAAUGUUAUAUUAUUAAUAUAGGGUAAUAUUUUCUCUGCCCUGGUCCCCUGCUUUAGUUAUUUCUUUUCCUCUGUUUGUUACAGUGAGAACACUCAGAAUCAAAAUUUAUGGUGAAAUGGCAUAUGUAUGAUUUUAUCAUUGCUUAAUCAGAUUCAGAGCUAUUGAUCACCAUUUUGAUGAUGCCAUAUUGUGUCAUUUUAUCAAUGAUAGCAGCACUCAUUGAUUCAUCAGAAGGGAAAACUGAGGACUGUGAUGAUAUAUGUGUGUGUUUGUGUGUGUGUGUGUGUGUGUGUGUGUACAUACAUAUACAUAUUAUUUUUUCUAUUUUGAUGUGAUUAAUAAUUAUUCAAUUAAGUAAUUUAAUCCCUUUACAAAGCAUAGAUGUUGUUCAAUAACAAAUGUGUAAAUUCGUGUUAAGUGGGUAAACAGAUGAUGUUUGUGGUAAUCCAGUUAAAAUAGGUCAUGUUAUAUUGAAUAGCUCAAUUACUAAACGGGUUAGCAGUUAGUAGAAUAUAGCAGGUAAUUAUGUGUUUUCUUACUUAUUUAUUAAACCGAUUAUAGGUCUUGUUUCAUAUUUGAGGUGUUAUGACUUAAAAACUAUAUCUACGGCUAUCAUCAGUUGUCCAAUUACAAUAUUGGGACCCUUAUAAUUCAUGCUUUGCCUUUAAGUAAUUCAUGUUUAACCUUAACGUGCAAUAGACAUAGCUGAUAGGUGAUAGCCCUCAAAAAAAAAAAAAAAAAA
rnacentral:lncRNA from 1 species